AAUCAACAAAUCCAAACAUCAAGUGAAGGAUUAAGGAUAGAAAGAUUGAAGAUCAGUGGUUCUUAGAAGGUUUUUGAAGACAAUACAAAGUGAGAAAAACUCAUUUCAAGUUCCUAGGAGUUUCUAGACGGAAGAACGAUCGAAAACGGGGAGAAAACACAUGAUUUCGCAUAUAGGGGCUGCCUCAGGUGCCCCUCUAUGCGCCUCCUACGCACAACCAUGGGCAGAAAUUUCUUGUAGCUUGUUUUUCUAGCUAAAACGGUGGAAAAAACUUAGUUUUCUUCUCUUAAACCCUAAGUAAUCAUUUACUAUAAAUAUAGACUCUUGCACAUAUUAUUAUUAAUUCAGAAAGUUAGUGGUUCAAAGCGAGGGUCAAACAUCAGAGUUUUCAAGGCAGAUGAUUUCCAUCCUCCUCUUGUUCUCUCUAGGGUAUAUUUUUCUAUUAUUUUGUUAUGAUGUAUGUUGUCAUGAGAAACUACACCUCUUUGGUUAGGGUUCUAAGAUGAACACCUUCUUAUUUGUUGGUUUCAAAUAAUAAAUUUUUCAUUUACUUAUGUUUUUCUUGUGUCCUAUUCAAUUCAUUCUUGCAUGUGUUUAAUGCUUUUUUAAUUGAGGAUAUGUAUCGGUAAUCUUGAAACUUGAUCUGUAGAGAAUUAGUAGGAUUGACGACCCAAAUUUGUUACUUUCUUCAUAGCAGAUUCAAUUGCUUAUUUCUUAAUUAUAGUUAAUGAAAUUAAGUAUGAACCUUCGUAAUUUCUAAAUGUUUUUUUCCGAUAACGCCAUAAUUAUAACUAGGUUAUCUUACUACAGAAGUUUUCGUUAGAGUUAAUAAAGAUUUCUAAAUUUAUUUUAUUAAAUCAUAACUACAUACCACAUAACUGAUUUUUUCUAAGUUAAUUCCAACAACGACGAAGGGGGAUUCAGGGAUUUCCAAAUCAUCGUUAAUCAUCUGAAUCACAAGCCUAAUCUUGCAUUGGAUAGAGCAAUUAAUUAAACCAUGCAAACAUAUUCAAAUCUCUUUUAUUUUUCCUCUUUAAAAUAAGUUUUGCUAAUUGCUAAGUUGAACGGCAAUCCUUGUGGAGAACGAUAAACUUACUAUUUUAUUACUCGUUACGAUUUUGUGCACUUGCUAAUUUCGUCGAUGAAUAGCCUAAAAUAUCAUAUGUUGCUCCGCGGUUAGGAGUUUGGAUUAUAUAAUCCAAAUAAAAGGUAUUGAAAAAAAUAUAUAGGAUACACAAGAAACACAUAGAAUGAGAAAUGGGCUUUCCAUUGUCUGGUAAAUGCACAUUUUUCUUGACUAGAAACAUGAGUUGACAAGAAACAUGUGUAUCGGUAUUUAUAAGGCAGAAGUAAGGUUUUUGCUAUUAGGCUUUCACUUGGACAGAUAAGAGACACUUGUAAUGAUGGUGGCAUUUAGGGUGGGUGAGGGAAAGAUUUUUCCACCAUAGGAGAAUUGAUUUUAACCGUUAGAUCUAUUCAAGAACACAAUUUUACGAUAGUCCUUCAAUAGCAUAUCUCCCUUACAUUCUUCUCUCUACCCACAAGAACAUAACCACCGACAUUCUCUCUCCUCCCUUGCCUUUGAAUUUUAAGUUUAAAGAGAAACCGUGUGUGCUGUGUAUUCUAUGGAUUCAUUGCUUGUUGGAUCUUUUCCCAAGUCAUAUUCAUUCACCACCACACUAGUAUGAAUUUACUUCUUGCAUUUCAUUUAUUUUCAAGAAACGAAAAUCACAGUCGUACCCAAAUUCACAUAAUACCUCUUCCAAACCAAACAAUUCUUCCUAACUGGUGUUUUGUUUCCAUCAUCAGUGUCCAUUCAAAACCUGUUAUGAACAUCAUAGUCCUACCCAAAUUCUAAUAUUGAUAAAUGAAAAAUCUUAAAAAUUUGAGAUUUUUGUAAGAAACCCAAUUGAAAAUUCUGAAGAUAAAUGAUUAAUUGAACUCAGUUAUUAUGUUAAUCGAUAUGAAAAUUUUGAUCUUAGUUCUUCAUUGACAUUGAUUUGUUUUCCGCCGCCCAGACAUGCUAUGAUGCUGGUGGUGGGAGGAGAAUGGUUGGGGAAGAUAUUGUGAACAAAAAUCUAAUAUAGAUAGAUCAUGAUAAAAUCAAUGCACCCUUUUAAUCUAAUGGUUAAAAUCAAUUUUCCCAUGGUGGAAAUUUUUUCCCUCACCCACCCUAAAUUCCACUUGUAAUGUUAUGUGGGUGGUUACAACAUUAGACACGGACUAGAUGGUCCAGAUUAAACGUACGGACCGUGAUCCAGUGGGAUUUGUAGCAAAUUGAUGAUAUGAACUUGUUUUGCAUAGGGUCUUGAUUGGACUCGGGUCCCAACUAGGAAGGAGCCUUGAUCCAAUCAGAAACAACAUGCAUUAGCAAAACUAAUAGUCAAUUACCAUCUUACUCGUUUCGUUAUCAAUUAUAAGAAAAUUUUGAUUUUUUAGGUUCAUUCAAUUAAUAUAUGUGAUCUAUAUUAUGAACCACAUACAUCAUUAAUUGAAUGAACUUAAAAAAUCAAAAUUUACUUAUAAUCGACAACAGAUAGAGACUUUAAUGAUACAUUCAUCCAAACUCGAAACGGAGACUUUACAGUCGUAUGCAAAUUUUAUGUUGUGCUUACCAAUUUGUAUAAGAUAAUAAAAAAAAAAUCCAAACAUACAAUUAUUGUUUGUUUAUUUUAAGAUGGUCUCUCACAAUCAUAACAUCCUGAUCUUAUGAAAAAUAAUAUUCCCUCUGAUCUCAUUUAUAAGCAAAUUUUCACUUUUAGAUUCAUUGAAUAAAUGAUAUAUGUGGUAUAUGAUAUACAAAAUCAAAUAUACAAACAUAAAAUUGAUUUUAAACUAUUGACAUGUUUGUGAAACUGCCCUUUUGGCUUCAUGUUAUUAUUCUUCAAUUGACUUUUAGAUAAAUAUAUUUAAAUAUAAAUCAAUUAAUAUUUAAAUCAGUUUGAAAUAUUAACCAAAGUCUACUUUAGUCACACAAUUAAACAACUAGCAAAUACAACAAAUUGAAGUUACUCUAUAACUACACUCUACCGUUUACAUUACACAAGAGCCAUCCAAUAGAGAAAAUAAAAGCACUCAAGGUCAAGAGAAGCAUCCACCACACCACUGAAAAUUGCUUUCUAAUACAAAUUAGAGGUAGUUAAGUGGACGAUUUGUUUAAUUCUCCAUCUUAAACGUCACCUAUCUCUUCAUGCCAUUUUUUAAAUGUAUAUUUUCUAGUGGACAAUGUUUAUGUAUCAUAGUCACAAAUCUAAACAAGUUAGGCGCACAUAUAAAAAAGGACAAAAGAAAAUAGAUUUUUUUUAUUAUUGAAAUAAUUAGAUAAUGUGUUUUUAUAUUUGUGAAUCUAAAUAUUUGGCUUUGUGAUCAUUUUCUUUUUUAUGUUAAUAACCCUUCCGUUUAUAGAGAAAGGGAUUCUUGUGAUUCGGAAUUCGGUUGAAAUGUAUGUAAAAACUGAUAAAAAGUUGUUGAUCGAAAUCAUAUUGUGAUCAUAUAAUAACUAGAUAAACGAUAUUUGCAUAACUAUUUUGUAAUGAUUUUUGUUGAAAUUCUUUCUCUCAUACUCUAUUGUAUUUAUACUCUCACUUUAUUGCUUUAUUUUUUAUGUCAAAUUCUACAUUUUUUUUAUAACUUUAUAAUUGUCGCAUAAGUUUACCAAAACAAAUUCACGGUUCCUGUCAACUUCAAUUACGUCCCUAGGCUUCAAUGAGAGGCCCAUACACUUUGACUUCAUGCAAAUCAGACCAGCAAGUGGAGCAAAGAUUUAUUAAUGAUGAAAAAAUAGAGAUCAGUGGGUUUAUAAAUUCCUUCUGGAAUUUUCAACGUGAAUAUAUUCUUUCUUGACCGGUUAAAAUUCCUGUUAUAAAAAAAAAAAAAAAAAAAAUUCCUAUGUCUCAUAUAAGAUGAAUGGUUAAAAAUUCUUAUGUCUCAUAUAAGAAUAUCUUAUUUUAUAAUUCUAAUAAUAUAUAUUUUUUCUAUUAUAUCUUUAUUGGUAUUAAUACAUUUUCUUGAGUAACAUGUUUUUAAAUUCUAAUUCUAAUUCUUAUAUUUGUACCUUUUAAGUAAAUAGUCAGAAGUUCGAUAUCUAAUUAUUGUUUUUACAAAAUGAUUAUUGUGUAUUAUUCGUUGCUAAAUUAAUAAAGCCUUAGAUGGCCACAACCAUUUAGGCACACUCAUGUAUUUCAAAAAAAAAAAAGGUAGAAAUAAAAAAUAAUUAAGCGCACAUGAUAUGAUAUGUUUGUAUGUCUAAGUGAUGUGCUCAAAUUAUUGUUAUCAUACAAGUAUUUUUCAUUGGUUAUAAUAUCGUGAUGAGCAAUGCUCUUUCUCACGAGAGAAAUCAUCCCGAGUCGAUAACGAAAAAAUACUUAGCCAAUUAAAUUCGUUAAUUACCGGAAAUCACCAAAAAAUCACAACUAACAUGAUUUUUAUUCACAACUGAAAUCACCAAAAAUUAACUCAUACAUCGACAAAUUUUUUAACCAAAUUAGAAUUUCAAUUUUUUUUUUAAGGAAGAAAUUCAUUGCAUUUCAUUAGCUAAAAUGUGUCAAAUACAUGAGGGUACAUCAUCUAUAAUAUGAGGAUAGAAUUAUAUAGGGUUGCCUGAGCUAACUCGUGAGCGACCCUAUUCGCUUGCCUCCUGUUGAACUCUACAUGCGAGUUCUGAAAUCUAUCCACUAACAUUUGGUUACAAGUAGUAAUAAUACAUCCAAAUUCGCUACUAUCAUCUAUAUUUUAAUUGACACAAUCAACAACUCUUUUACAGUCAAGUGCAAAGUUCACAUUAUCAAAUUGUUGAUUAGAGAUCCAAUCCAAAGUUGUGUGCAUACCGACAGCCUCCCCUACAUCUAUAUCACAGAGAGGAGCAAACCAUUCCGUCUUUGCAAGAACAAAAACACCAACAUCAUCUCUAAGACACAUGCCCAAACCAGCCAUAUUAAGAUAAGUGGAAAAAGAUGCAUCUAUGUUGCAUUUAUACCUGCCUUGUGCCGGUUUUUUCCAAUUAUCCUCUUCUUGCCUUGUAGGCCGCGCCUGAGGCAUGGUGGAUUGGGCGUUGUUGCAAGACCUGAUAGCUUGAGCUGCUCUCCACUCAUCUAGUAGGUGGGUUGCGCGUUGGAGCACCUGCGAGCUGAGUUCAUUAUGUUGCUGCCAAAGUUUCAUGUUACGACUCUUCCAAAUACUCCACAUAAUUGUGGCCAUGAGCUCGCACUGUCCUGAAAAAAAUUGUUGCAAAAGAGUGAAAAUAAGUGCAUGGAUAUUAUAAUCUUGAUGAAGAAUCCUGUUUAUUGGGUCCCAAAAAUUCACAUCGCGCCACACUUGAACAGCUUUAAGACACUCAAUAAGAAUAUGGUCAUAAUUGUUAUUGCUCUGAACACAAUCAAGCGGGCAAGAGACUCCUCUACUAUCUUCAAACUCUUUGGUAUUGUUAUUAAUAUAAAAAAAGCAUUGAUGCCGUGUCAAUAAAUUUUUUAACAACUUUUGGAACAACCUUGUUGUUCUUUUUUUCUAUCGGUAAAAAACAAGAGAGAGAGAGAAGAAAAGAGAUAGUAAGAAUCUAAUGUAAGUAUGAGAGAGAAAUUUAUUCAAAAGUUAUAUUAAAAUGGUUGUACAAAUAUCAUUUCUCUAAAUAAUAUCAUCUUAAUGUACAUUUUGAAAAAAAUUUAUAGACAGAACUACUCAAUCACAAAUGAAAAAAUAUUAGUGGCCAAAAUUACUCCAAAAGAUGUGAGGAGCUAAAGUCGUAUAGCUGCAAUACUUUAGAACUGCAAAAGUUUAAGCUUCAUUAGUGAGGCCAACUUUUAGUCUCCAAAUUACACUAUGUUAUAUUGAUACCUAAUUCUAAAUUCUAAAUCUUUGCCCCCACAAACAUAUUUAAUUUGAAGCUAUAGUUGUAGGGUGAUGGUCGUUCAACUAGCUUUUCUUAUGACAAGUCAAGUGGGUUGAUGGCUUGAUGCUAAUAGUAGACGGGUAAUAAUAACUUGUGUUCUAAAAACACAAUUUAAAGAGCUCAAAAUAAAAUUAAAACAUAAUUUAUAUUAAAAAUAUAAUUUUUGAAAAUUUUAAGACAUUAAAUAUAAAUUUGUAAAAAUAAUAAUUAUAUAUUUAGUUUUUUAACUUAUAUCUCAAAGAUGCAAGUUAGUUUUUCCAUACUAGACUUGGGAACAUUUUUUUUAUUAAUUAAUACUCAUGAUGCAAGUUAGUUUUUUUUUUAUUAAUUUUGAGUACUUAACUUCGUGGAGCAAAGCAUGGAAGCUCUUACUAUUAGAAAGAGGCUCGAUUUUGUUUGGAAACCCUUUCAUUGCGUAGGAUACAGGUAUUGACGAUAGUGUGCUACUCUAAUUCUCUUCUUUACAUCAACCUAUUAAUUGUUUUUAUGUGAAGUAUCAUAGUCUAUCUAUGCAUUGUUAAUUAAAGACAUUAAAGAGCUUCUUUUAGAAAGAAAUGUCAUUGUUUGUCACACCAUUCAAGAAAGAAAUCAAUGUACGGUUUUUUUUUUUUUUUUUUAAAAAAACUUGCAGCUUCAUAAAAUAAUGAUUUGUUAGAACUUAAAACUUUUUAGCUUAAUUGCACUUUUCUCCCGUAUAGUUUGUCAAUUGUUCAAUUUUGCAUCCCAUAAUUUUAAACGAGCGAUUUUGUCCCCUAUAGUUUUUCCCCUUUCUGAUUUUAUAGUCCCCAUGACAUUUAGUGCUGAUAUGUCUGUUUUUUUAUUAAUUAAUAUGUGCCACGUGUGUAAUUUCAUUUUUAAAAAAAUAAAAAAAAUGGAAUUACACACGUGGCACACAUGAAUUGAUAAAAAAACCAGCACUAAAUGUCACGGGGACCAUAAAAUUAGAAAGGGGGAAAACUAUAGGGGGCAAAAUCGCUCGUUUAAAACUAUGGGGUGCAAAAUCGCACAAUUGGCAAACUAUAUGAGGAAAAAGUGCAAUUAAGCCAAAAAAAAUUCAUUAGGGAGUAGUUUUGUUCCAUUUUUCUUUUGUUUUUGUUUGUUUGUUUAGCCUUGUAAACACUUCCAUUGUAGGCUUUUUACUAACAAAAUCUUAUAUUUGAACAUCCCUAAAUUUCAUAAAUCAUCUCUCUCUCUCUCUCAUGUCGUCUAAUCCAUAAUAAUAUAAUAAAAAAAAAGGAAAAAUAUACAAAAGAGGGAACCAAACCAAAACCACGAAAAGAGAAGCAAAACAUAAAAACAAAUUAUGAAAAAAGAUAGAUUGACAAACCAAAGUAGUCUCGAAAAAUCAGCUGAGCGCUUAUUGAAUCCCCCUCCAACCAAAUGCUUAAUCAAGCAGCAAAGAAAAUCAAAUGCCUAACCUCUCAAAAUUUUCAAAAAUUGUAAAUUGGCCCCUUAAAUUAAAUUUACAAAAUUAACUCAAAAAUUUAAAAUUUGUAAAAAUAGCCAAACAAUAUUAACAAUGAAAUUUUUUAUUACUUUAUACAAACAAAGAUAUUGAAAAAAAUUGAACAAACAAAUAUGGGAUGUAUUAACAUCCCCGUGAGCUUAGCUCAGUUGAUAGGGAUAUUGCAUAUGCAGGAGUCGGGUUUCGAACCUCGGACACUCCACUUCUCCACAAUUAAAUUGUGUGAGCUCUAACCACUAGGCUACUUGACAAAAAAAAAAGACAGAAAGUCUCCUUAGCGCAAAGUGUACCAAGAAUACCUCUUGUAAUUACAAACUGUCAACAAAUGUUACACAAAAAGGUUAGUCAAUACCUAAAUACGUCAAGGGUUCGACCACCACCUAUUGAAGCCAUAAACAAAAUUGGCAUUGUUUGCUUUAAGCCACCAUAAAGAAUAAUACUUUACUUUAUCUAAUAGCUGAGAUAUAGAAUUUUCUAUAUUUUUGAAUAAUCGACUAUUACGUUCAUUUUAUAUAAUCCAAACACAGAAGCCAAACAAAUUGUAAAAUAGAGCGCUGAGCUCACAAACCACCUAAAGAAUGAGUAAAUUAAAUGAAAUAAUCUAAAAUACUAUGAGGAGCCGAUCCUAACAAACCAAUUCAGGACCGCACCAAAUGUCAAAGGGAAACUAUACAUACCGCUAGACAAAAUAAGUGUUGAACCGUUUCCACACUUAUUGAAAAAUAAAAAGCCAAUUCAAUUGAAAUUUAAAUUAUCUAGAAUUUUAGAUUAUCUGAAAUGGAGUAAUCUAGUUGAGCCAAAUUGGCAACAAGGUUGAGAUCAUCGAGGUACUAGAGAUAGCCCCACCAUGGACACUAGCUCCUCACCAAAUUUGGAUUAUGAAAAUAACAGCUAUGGUGAUCCUUCUUUGUGUGGUCCUUUAAGCCUAGGCUAUACUUAUUCAUCAUAAAUAUUUGGAAUUCACUUAGGUGAGGCUAGCUAUUGCCAAACUGUUCGUGUAGAUCCAGAUUUUGAUUGAUAUCAUCAAGUGGCAUUUCAAAGACAAGUCAAUGUAAUUUUGACAAAGGAAUCUAUAUGUAGUUUCAAAUGCACCGUUUUUGCUAUUCAUCUCAUAAAAAGGUAGUUUUUACAUUUUUUGAUAAAGUUUUUACUUUUAAAAAGACAACUUUUUAUACUUUUUAAAAUAAAUAAAACUUAUUUUUUACGAGAGAAACAACAAAAACUGCACGCAUAAAUUUGCAUAUAAGUUGCCCGUAAGCUUAGCUUAAUUGACAGGGACAUUACAUAAUUUAUGCACGGGAAGGGAUACCCCACUUCUCCACAUUUAAAAUGUAUGAGCUCUAACCACUAGGCUAAUUGACAAAAAAAAAUGCAUAUAAGUUUAAUCAUAUGACAAAUUCAUGCAAUUAUGACAGAACUUAUUUUUAAUACCAAAUACUCCAAUUUUAACACAAUUCAUACGGGCAAUUUUUAAAAUUGAAAUUUUCAUAAUUGUUAAUGACAAAAUUUGGCUAACAUAAUUUUUUUUUGAUAAAUGUCAAUUGAGGAGGUAUGAGUAUGAGCUAAAUUUUCGUCUUCUAUCCCUUCCAUGGACCUAUGUAUGUUUGCUUGCCUAUUCACCAUUCUUUCCCCCUAGUUACUCGUUGUCUAUCUCACAUUAUCAUUUCUCAUCCCUAACUCUCAACUAAUUGAUAAAUAAUACUUGUACAACCAUUAUCAUAUUUGAACAAUAUUCUCUCAUACUCUUAUUUUAGCUUAACCAAGGUUCUGAGUUUAAAUUCACUCUUAGGCAUGCAACAAUGUUAAAACUUUCAUAGAGAGUUUGCCACUUAUUUGGAUUCCACCAUAAUACUCGAGUGAUUGGUCUCUCCAAUUGCGCGCAAAAGAUACCCGAAUUACACCAGAAAAUAUUCUCAUUGUACUCUCUCUAUUGUUUUUUACCAAUAAAAAAGAGAAAAUUAUUAUCCCAAAAAUUGUUGUAAAAUAGUUGUAAAAAUAUCAUGAUUACAAUUAAUUAUCGUACCUCUCAUUCGUUUCUCAAUUCUUUAUUGUAUAAAAAAUAUUUAAAUCUAUAAAAUAUUUUCAUGAACAUAGUUCAAUCGAUAAAAAUAUUGCAAUAUUUAAAAAUCAAUGUUUAAAUCCUAAAUUCCACAUUAACUCACCUUAAAUGGUGGAUUUCUGACCAUUAAAAAACUUGAAAAAAAUUAAUAUAGUAUACGAAUUGAGUUUACUCGAUCCCUUUAGACAUUCUCUUCUCCAUUGAGUUUUAGUUAAGUUAAAAGUCGACGCAAUCGUGCAAAUUCUAGCUUGUUCAAUCAACAUCAAACGAUCUAAAUUUCAACUUUAAUUUUUUUAAGGAAACUUUAAAAUUAAACAAAAUAAUUUAAAAAUAUUGUAAGAUUUAAACGCUAUCAUCUUGAUCGUAUGGUUCAGAAAUGUUGAAUGCUUCUAAGUGCAUCCACCACCAACCACAUUUAAUCAAAUUCCAAAAAAUAUCUCAUCUUUUUGAACCCUCUGCCUACAUAUUCUCUGCCUUCAAUUAUCCUCUAUCUCUCGCCGCGUAUCUCUACUAAUUAUUAUUAAAACAAAGCAAAACAUGAAUGUGAGAUUUCCUUAACUUUUCAGAGAAUCCCAUUCUUAUUUCAACCACUUUCUCUAUCUGUUUUAAAAUGAGCGUCGCUUUAGUCAAUUGUAUACAGAUUAAGAAAUUAAAUAAAGUAAUCAAAUAUCAUAGCAAUUUCACUACAAUAAUCUUAUUUUAUAAGAAUAAGACAAAUUUAAAGUAGAAAUGUAGAGUGACAUUCAUUUUAAAACAACUUUUUUAUAGAUAAAUUGACACUCAUCUUAAAUCGGAGUAUUAUAUUUUCUUCUUAUUGCUGCUUUUCUCAAACGUUUGAACUUUGAAGUUUAAUUCACGUUUGAAACACACCAUUCAAGAGUUCACACCCCAGAUUUGACUUAUUCCAUAAAAAAAUGAAUUAGUUCAAAAUUACCAAAAACCCUCAAACAAAAAACCUUAAAAUACGCCAAUAAUUCAUUUCGAUUUGCACAGCCCAACAAAUACAAUGAAUCAUGGAACACGCAAAGAAUCAUAAAAAAAUAAAAAACCAAUCAAUAAUAAAUAUAAGUAAAUAAAUAAACAAAAUAUUUAAUAGUAUUAAUUAAUAAUACGGGUUAAUUGUUUAAAUUGGCCCUAUAAAAUAUGCGAUGUUCAAAAAAUGAUCCUAUAAAAUAAAAAGUACAUAUUUUAACUAUAUAAUUUGAGAUUCUUCUUAUUUUUUACCAUAUAAUUAUAAUAUACUUAUGGUCCAAAAUAAAAGUGAUCAAGAGAUUGAGUUUUUUCAUUAUUUUUUCACCAUAAUCUUUAGGAUGUUAAAAUACGGUUUUACACAAAAAAUUAGACAUAUCCCGCCAGGGCAGGAUUUAUUAUCAAUUUUUAUUCCCUAUAGUUAUAAAUUUCUUAAGCAAUUCAUAAUUAAUUAGUAUUUAUUUAUUAUCAAAACUUUGUAGUGAAGGUACCUAUGCUGUUUUAGCCAUGCUUAAAAAAUUAGAUAACAAAUUUUGACGCGUGAGUAUACGCUUACUUGGAGCAAAAUUGCAAUUUCGCACAUUUUGAUUGAAAAAUAAAAGUAAAUGAAAACGUCUUUAAAAUACUAUAGAACUUCGUAGAUUAUUUUUAUGUAUUUAUAUGAAUGUCUAUGCAAACAAUCAGCUCAAAAUUCAUUUGCUAGAUUGAGGUUUUCGUUGUUUUAUUUUGAGUUUUUAUCGCUUUAAAAAUUCAUAAUUAAUUUGUCCUUAGUUGAAAAAUGUUAAUUUAUUGUGUAAAGUUAAAUUUUAACGUUCUAACCAUGCCUAUAAAAAGUCAUCUUUCAAAUACUAAGAACCAUAAAACCGAUUAUAACAAUAAAAAAUAUAAAAGUAUUUCAAGCGUGAAGUUAACUCAUGUUAAGGUUAUUUUAGAAGUUUGGUAUGGGAAUGAGAAAAAAAAAAAUUGUUCCAUUCUUUCCCCUACUUACUCAUUCUCUAUCUCACAUUCUCAUUUUUCUUCCCUACCUCCUAACCAAUUGAAAAAUGAUAAUUGAAUACCCUUUGAACAAUUUUUUCUCAUACUCUAAUUAUAUAUUGAGUCUAUCGACAAAUUUCAGAUAGUCUAGUCAACAUCAAACAAUCUAAAUUUUAACUUAAAAAAUUGAAAGAAAAAAAAACUAAAAAAAUAUUUCAAGAUUUGAACGCUAUGCUUUUUUUUUGUUAAAUAGCUUAGAGGCUCAAAUUCACCUUUUUCAAAGUAAAUAAGUUGAGUUAAGCUCACAUUUAAUAUGGUUCAGAAAUGUUGAAUGGUUCUAAGUGCACCUACCACCAACCACAUUUAAUCAAAUUCCAGAAUAGAUCCUAUCUUUUUCAACCCUCUCGCCGCAUAUCUCUACCAUUAAUUUAUUUACACAUAGCAAAAUAUGUAUGUUAAAUUUCCUUAACUUUGCAAAGAAUCCCAAAAUCAUUUCAACCUCUUUCCUUAACUCUGCUUAUUGCUUUUCUGCUUAUUGCUUUUCUCAAACGUGACUUAAAAGCUUAAUUCACGUUUGAAACGCCAUUCAAGAGUUUUCCCCAAAAUUACCAAAAACCCUCAAACAAAAAACCUCAAAACACGUCAAUGAUUCAUUUCAAUUUUCACAGCCCAGAAAAUACAUUGAAUCAUAAGAACAAGCAAAGAAUCAUGAAAAAUCAAAAAUAAAUAAACAAAUAAACAAAUAAAUAAACAAAAUAUUCAAUAGUAAUAAUAAUUAAUAUUAAGAACCCUUAAGGCUAAAACCGAUUAUAACAAUCAAAACUCCUCAAGAUACAUAAAAUUAAAUCAAAAUUUUUCUUCUCUAGAAUCAAACGGAAUAAAGAAUAACAUCCAAACUACUUCCACCAAAACCACCAGAAGAUUUGCCACCGCCGCCGCAACCGUUGACAGCAGCUCCUCCUUCAGAAUGAGGCGGAGGAUGAUAAAACUUCCUUCCCGUUUGAGGACAGUUGGAAUAAGAUCUUGCAACAAUCCUCAUUCCUUGAUCAACAAUCUCAACCCACUUUCCCAUCUCUGAAAAAAAAAAUUGAAAGAAAAAGAAAAAAAAACCUAUUUUCUCUUCUUUCAAUUGAAAUGAAUCUAUGAAAGAAAAGAAAAUAGAAGAGAAAUGAAAAAAAGGGUUUGUGUUAUAAGAAGAUGAAAGACAUUUGUAAGAGAGAGAAUGCGUUGUGAAAACAGAAGGCGUUGUUUGUGUGUAUUUAUAGUGCGGUAGUGUCAUUUUUGGACUUUUUUUCACGCGACCUUUUCUUCGAAUUUUCAUUUUUUUUUUUGUUUUGUUUCGAUGCUAGUUGUUAGAAAGCGCGUUUGGUUUAACUUUUUUUUUUUUUUUUUUUUUUUUUUUUGUGAAAAGUAGUUGCCAUUUGACUGUUUUGAAGAAAAUUCAGUGUAUGUGAUGUUCUGGAUUCUUCGGUAAUAAAUAUAUAUAUAAAAAAAAUAUGGUGAAAAUUUAUAUUAGUUGUACAAAAAAGAUUGUUAAAUAGCAAAAAAAUUAAAAAUUAGAUGUACUAAUAUUUAUUAAAAAAAGGAGUAAUAUUUAAUGAUUUCUUUUAUAAAAAAAAGGCAUAAUACUUGACGAGAAAAAUUAUAUUGGACUAAAGUUGUAUUUGAUUUGUAAAAUAGUAAAUACUAGAACUUUUACAUGUGCUACCGCCUGAGUCAUAAACAAUAAAAAAGUUAAUAAUAUUGCAAUAUGAUCUAUUAGAUAGAUAAGAAAACAUAUAACAAAAUUCAAUAGUUAAAAAAUGGAAGAACUUAGCUAUAAAAUAAAAUAAUUGAAACAUUUUGAUCCCUUAACUCAAUUAGUAGUCCUCUUAGAGUCCACUUCUUCCCCAUACUACAAGGGAAAGGGAAAAUGUAAAAACUACCAUUAAACCAGCCCAAGCAAGACUUACUAUAUCCAUGUAAAUUUUAAGCUAAUAUUUUGUAACGAUUAAUCUUUUUUCAUUCUAUUUUUUGGAUCUAUUUAUAAGAGAUAUACGAUUACUUUUUGUUCAAUUUAUGAGUCUUGUCAUUAAUACAUUUAAUUUAAUACAAAAUAAAUCUUUUUCCAAAUUUCACAAAGGGCCAAGUCAAAUUUUUACAAUAAAUUUAUUUUCUUAUGCCAAUUAUUAUCCUUCAGUUCUUCAAUAUGUAAUGACAAUGGAACCUCUCUACCGUAAAAGAGGGUACACAUAAGAGAGUUUGCAAUAGUGUCAUUUGAGAUUGCAAAGUCAAUUAGUCAGGCAAACAUAAGAGAGGGUGGGUAUUGAAAACAAAAACCCUUAAGAUGAGUUUCUUCCAUAUGUUGUUUUAGAUAUUCUAAUUUGCCAAAGGCCCCUGCAGCUUGAGGAAUCACCAUGAAGCGUCAACAAAGGAACACGUCAGAACAAAGGAAGGGGGGGUGCAGGGAUUAGUAAUUCACAAAGAAAGAAUAGCCUAGCCAUUUCUCAUGGAGUAUAAGAAGCUUUUAGUAUGUAUAUGAAGCUUUUUCACAUAUAUAACACACAUAUUGUCAUUCAUGUAGUGUAGUUUACUCUUACGUUGAAUACAUACUGUGCUUUCUGACUGCAAUUUUUGUUGCAUUGAAACUUGGGGGAAUAUAAGUUCUUUCUGUAAUGGGGGAUGUUGAGAAUGUGUUACAGUCGUCAAAGAAAAGGGUUGUUGGAAGGAAGCUCACCUGCGACACUCUUAUUGACAAUGAGGAAGAUGACGCUGACCUAGAAGCCGGGACUUUCAAGAAAGCAGUGAGGAGGUUCUUGCAACCAGAGAAUAAUCAAAGUAGCACGUCUCCAACAUAAUAAAUCUGCGCCAAACCCUUUCGCUGGUAUACUCUUGCCUGCUCCUACUGAAUCCACUGCCAAGUCUAGUGAAGCUACUACUUAAUUAAACGCAGCCAGAGAAAGCUAAGAAUGAAGAAACUAAGCAGCCAGAGAGCAAAGCUCCUGGGGUCGAGGACAAAUCUACUUCAAACAACGACGUUGCAGACAGAAAAAAUGCAGGUAAGGAGCUUGCACAGACACAAACACCAAAACAGGACACAUACAUAUUACCACCAGUCAACUAUCACUCCUUACUGGCUCCCGUUUCAUUAUGUUGUCGUUGCCGCAUAAAAGUUUCCAACCCUAAGCUUCAAAAGAUGCUUCUUUUGUUUACAAAUUUGAGAUAUGUCAUUCUGAAGCUGAGACUGUGGAACAUUUAUUUGAUGAACUGUAAUUUGUCCAAACUAGCUAUGUUUGCAUCGCCUUUGGGUUCCCAUGCUCCCUUUAAUAUGGACCUGCAUAGCUAGUUGUUAGAUUGGCUAUCUUGUGCUGUUAAGGAUGACUCGCAGCUGUUCUGCACUAUCCUCUGGAUGCUUUGGUAUGCUAGAAAUCAAGCUGUUUUUAGUGGGGCCACUACAGACCCCGUUAAUUUAGCUCACAGAGCUGUUCAGUUUAUUCAGACGUUCAAUCCUGCUAAUGUCAAGCAAAGGCCUCAACCACCCCGCUAAAGGAGGGACAAUGCUGGCACGUUCCAGGAUGUAUCCCAUCAUAUGUUUGUGGAUGCUGGAUGUUUUUCAAGCGGACAAACAGGAUGGGGGCUGAUUCUGAAAAACAAGACACAGACAGGAAUAGUUACUCAUAGCAAGUGCAAAUUGGAAUCGGUGGAGGUAGACCCUUGCUUGGCCGAAGCACUAGGAGUGAGAUGGGCGCUUCAAGAGGCAAUGAGGUUAGGCAUCCAAAGAUUGAUGCUCUCAUUGUGGUGAAUUGUGUCAACAGAGCUGGUGUAGUAGCAUUAGCAUCCAUUGAACCUGUAAUUGUUGAUUGUUGGAAUUUAAUAGAGCUAGUCCCAUUUGUAAUGGUUACUCAUGUUAGUAGGAACUAGAUGCUGUAGUUUUAACAUGAGAGAACUCAUUCCCAUGUUGACUGACAUUUGGACCAUGUGACCGUGUGAUUCAAGGCUUGAAUUUGUGUUGUGGAAUCAGUAACAAGCAAAUGCAAUACAAAAACUACCGACUAUUGAGUACAGACCAACAAAAUGGGUUUGCUAUCUGUUUCGUUAAAACCUAAAUUAAGUGCUUAUAGAAUAAGUUAUUUCUAUAACAAAAGAUAAAAUAAUGUUAAAUUUUUUUCAUAUAAGAUACAAGUUGUUUUCAUAAGCCAUCUUAGAGAGCUUACUGAAAUAACUCGAAAAUAGCUUAUAUACAUGUCAUAAGUUGUUCCCAUCAGCUCUUUCCAAUAGUCCGACUAAAUGCAUAUGCCAGUAGAUAAUGACCUCAUCCAAACAAGCCCUUGAUCUUUAUAUGGAAACAUAAAAACAACAGUAUAGCACCUUUCUGAUCUUUUAUAAGGUGUUGAGAAACUAGGCAUACAUUUAGAAAGCAGACGAGUGCAAAGAAACGAAAGUCGAAAACGACCUCAUCACACAAUCAAAAAGCUUUUAAUCAGAAAACGGAGUAGAUAACUUUUUGUUUUAAAUAAUGAAGAUGAAAAAAUCUAGUUCAUAUCAUAAAAACUCUAGCUAACUGUUGUAUAUUUCAGUAAACUCACUCUGCGUAUAGAUUUUCACAUAGCAACCAAUCCUUCAGUUUCUCCAAAGGUCUACAGAACAAGGAGGAGUAAUGAAGUAUAACAGUUUUCAAUUUGUUAGAUACUACCUCAAAAAGAAAAAGUUACCUGAAACUCCAAGGGGUACAAUUUCUUGGAAAAAUUUAAGUAUUAUUAUAAACUAUUGUAUUGAACCUUUGUGUCUAAGCAUGUAAGUCAUUUGUUUGAUUGAAUGAACUUGUAGACAGAACAAGACAUAAAUAUGAAUUUGAAUAAGGGAAAAGAAAUUUUUGAUGAUUGGAGUCUUGAUCAAGAAAACUUCGAUAAUUUGUAAUGUAAAUCCAUAUAGUUUAUAAGUAAGACUCUUUCUUACAUAUAUUUUACAUAUAGUUUUGAAAAAUUUGUCAACAUGUGAGACGGAAGUCGAACAAAGAAUCUCUUAGUUGGAGAUAUCUUUGGAUCAAAUUAAAGAGGCUAUAGUGAACUACAUGCGCCAACAAGUUGUGGUGUCUGAAGUCAAUGCUUCUACCCCUAAUAUGGAAAAUCUAUUACAAACCAAUUGGCACAUGCAUAACAACAUUCUCUUUGAAAGAACGUGAUUUCAAAGGGAAUGUUGUUUUGCGACAAUUGGUUUGUAAUAGAUUAUCCACAGUACGGGCAGCGGUGCUGACAUCAAACAAUUGGCAUCUUAGAUUUGUUAAAGGAGUUAGAAAUUUUUAGGUAAAUAUUUUACGAAAUAAUUAGAUUCAAUUAAAAAAAAUGCCACAUGAUUUCAACUUACUCAUAAGCACUUAUACUGUAAGCGCUUAUGCAAUAAGAUGCAAAAUAAGUUGUCUAUCCAAACAGGGCCAUUUCAAUCUGCAUAGAGGGUCUGUUAAUGUUUAACAAGUGAUCCUGCUAUGUGUGUUCCACACUACUUUCAUCCUCGAUAUGAGUUUGGAGGUAUUUGUCUAAAGAAAUUUAUUAAUUUUGUAUCGUUCAGAAGUAUACUUCUAAAAGCAUAUGGAAUUUUAGUUACGAGGUCGGGAGAAACAUCAGAGACAAUAAGCCACACCGUGUCCAGGAAUGAAUCUAGUAUUUUCUUCGGUGUACACGAGUUUCGUUCUGAAGCCUGAAACAAAUAUAAUGUUGGUGUCGAUGUCCUAAACAUUUAAGUGAGUUAGAAUGUUGAUAUCAUAGUCAGAGUUCUUCAUUGAAAUGUAAAUUACGAAAAAGAAAUAUUGUACUUACAUUCGCGAAAGAGUCUUGUUCAUGGUGGUAGAUGAAUGGAACCAGUCACCAGUUAGAUACAGCAAUUCUCCAUUUAUUCUUUUUUUUUUAUUCUUUUGUCCAUUUCCUCGGAACAAAAUGAAUUAUGGUUGGUCUGAAGCCUGGAUUUAAAGCAUAAUAUAAAUAAAAUAAGUACUUGUAAAAAAUAGUUGAUGAUAACUGAGUUAUACUACAACACAAACAAUUUUAUUUUAUUUUUCUUCUUUUUUUUAUUACCAAAACCCAUCCCCAAGUAUCAGCAAAAGAUGGUACAUGAGUUGUGUAUACUAUCACAUUUGGUUACACAAAUGUUACAAAGUCUUCAUAUUCCCUUUGUUGAAAUAGCAGUGGUUUACAAUUGAAUUUCCCAACUUUUAAACAAUUGAUCAUUCUAGUUUCAUUCUUUUGAUAUAUAAUUACUAGUAUCUGUUAAUAAGGCCACCUAGAUUGUAUGCUUUAAGCGCGAUUUAGUCGGAGAUAUUUCUCAUCUUUCAUACAAAUUCUGAGCUACUAAUAAAAAUGUUCACAAUAAUAUAAUACAGUAGAUUAAGCUAAUGAAGAAAAGGAUUACACACUUACCAUUACCAAGAGGGGAAGCAGAGGUUGUAAGAAUUUCGGAGGCAUUGUUUACGACAAAGGUAACUAUCUCAGAAGACAAGUUUAGGCCUUAGCAGUGAAACUUAAAAAGAUGACUUAUACAGCAAGGAAGUUUUUUAGCUUGUAAAGGUUUUGUCAAUGAAGAGGAAUGCAGAUAUUCAUUCAGAUCAUUCUUUCAGAUCAAAUAUAUAUACACUUUCUCGAAGAGAAAUGAAACGAAAAUGGAUCUUAAGGUCUCAACCAGGAUCAACUAUAUGAUUUUGAAGAAACAAAAUUGUUAAUUCAACAAAUGUAUAUAGGAAUAUGAAUAUUUAGAACCAAUAUUAAUUCAACAAAUGCAUGGUUUUAUCAUACGAGCAUUCAUUUAAAAUUACAAAUUAAGAAUCACGUUGCAAACAAAAAAUGUUACAAAUUAAGAAUAUUACAAACCCUAUGAGCAUUCAUUCAAAUGAUAAUAAAAUACAAACUGACUAUUAGCAGCUAAGUAAAUUAAAUCUUGUGGCAAUCAAUGGAAGCUGCUGAGUCUUCAAUUCCUCAUAAAAAAUCAAAGAAGCAGUUUUCUUCAAUUCAUCAAGUGAGCAGAUUAUCAUCCACAUAGGCCUUUGAUCUCCUGAAAAGUUGAAAUAAGCAUUUUCCUUUGAUUAGCUCCAAAGACAUGAUUGUUCAAUUUUUAUUGUUGAGAUUAAUGCAGCAGUUACAGGUUUUUCCAAAGAUAGUUUUAUAAGCCCAAAAAUAAAUAAGAAACCAGUUUUCCGGCAUGACUUAUGUAGUUAUAUAUCAAACUACCCGAGCUACAUUAAUUGAUUCUGGAAAUCAAAUAAAAUAUUCUGUGCAAAAUGUAUACAAAAAUUGGUCUUUAAAAAUUCAUCUUUUAAAAAAAAAACAGAGAUUAAUUAGUUGCUAAUAUGAAAAUAUUUUGAGAUAUCUUUGGAUUUGAUUGUUAUCGCAAUUAAUGACUAGAGAGGUAAAAGAAAAACAUACCUGAAAACGGGAACACAACUUGUCUAUCAUAUUGUGACUUGGUCGUUUAUUUUUAUGACGGGGAUGUGAGCAAUUUUGGAGCAAUGUUCCUUCCUUUUAUACCUUUCUUCUAACAAUGGGCAAUCAUAGAUGUCCAGUUCCUUAAGAGAGUCAGGGAGGCUGUCUUCUGGUAAUGAUUUAAGCUUUUCACAACCAUAAAAUGUAAGUGAUUUCAGCGAGGAAGGGAGGCAGUUUUCUGGUAAUGACUCAAGCUGUCGACAUUCAAAAAAUACGAGAUGUUGGAGAGAGGAGAGGUGUCGAAGCCCAUUUCCAUCAAAGGACUUCAUUUCAGAGAGAUGAUGGAUUUCCAGAGACACAAGGGAGACGGGUAGCAAUGACUCCUUCAUCAAGGUGUUAACUAUAUCAUCACCCUUUCCAAUACCCAAGUUGGAAAGUGCUGUCAAAUAUUGGAGACCCCAUUCUGUCACAGGCAGUGCUGUUCUUUUGGACUGUAUCAUAAUUGAUUGUAAUUUGGGAGGUAGACAAACUCCUUCACAAAACGACAACUCUGGCCAAUCUAGAGUCAACCGUUCAAGAGCGGCAAGCGUGUCCAUCUUAAGCUUGACUUCAAAUAAUUCAAUUGAAUCAUGGGAUAUGAUUAUAAGUGAUUCGAGGCUCGACGACCGAGGUGAAGACCUUUCUGAAAUAUAAAUGGAAUCCAGACUCCUACAAUCACGUAUGGUAAGUGUUCGGAGCGCAGGGAAACCAUCGAGUGGAAAGGAUGUAAGUGAACCACAGCUAUGAUCUAAAUGUAGAGUCACAAGUGAUGUGUAAUUGCUCCACGUUUCAGGAGGUAGGAAGGAUAAAUUCUCACAAUUUUCAAUAUGAAGUGAUUGCAAUGAAGUGGGUAGACCACUUGAGGGAAAUGCAGUGAGAGAAGAAAGAUUACCGAGUCCCAAGAGUGUAAGACAAGUGCUUCUCAGAAUCAAUUUUGGCACAGAUGACAGCAUAGCGCACUUUUGAAUCACUGCAUGUUGCAUCAUACAUGGAGAAUCGCUCCCAAGAAAUGACAAUUGGGUCCUUCCAUCAAGCCCAUCAAUCUUAAAAUUUUUUAUUGACGACAACCAAUGCAAAGUGGGCUCUGUUUCCAAUAGAUGAGAACAACCUUGUAUUACAAUUUCUUCUAUGCAAGGAAGGUUGCUCGGCAAAUGUCCCCUUAGUUCUGGACAAUUAUGUAACUCCAUAGCUCUAAGUUGAGGAAAAGCACAUUUUAUGCCUUCAAAGGGAAUCCAUUCAUUCCAAUUUGGCAUGUUGUCGAAAUUUAUGCGCUCAAGGGAUGGAAAUGGUUGGAAGGAAGAAUUAGAACCAUCUUCAAUCUGGACAUAAUAGAACUCCAGGCCAAUUGUCUCCAACAUGUUCAUACCACAUAUUUUUAGGACCUUCAGAGAAGGUAACUGCCCUAAGGGUGGAAGUAUCACACAAUAUUCACAAUUAGUGAUGCGGAGGGAUACCAUGUUAGAAAACGAAGAAUUUCCCAACCAACUAGGAAAACUUGUCCCACCAUGGCAAAUAUUCAGGCUCUUCAAAUUUAUUGGUGGUUGCAACAUAUCAAGCACAACUUUCACUUUUUGCGACUCUUCACUUUGUUUUCCCCAUAUCAGCUCUAACUCCUGAAUUUUCUCUUUGCUUUUCAAGUUGGCAUCAUGUGCCUCUUUGGCAUCAACAACAUUAUCUAGGUUCUUGAUGGUAAGUUUUCCUUGUAGGUUUGGGAAUUUCCUUAGCUCUUUGAUACUUAAUCCUACAUGUCUCUUGCCCACUAUAAAUAGUGUGAGAGUUUGAAGGUUUUCUAGUCCCCCAAUUUCUACAGGAAACUCAUUUAUGUUAGUCCUGCUUAUAUCAAGGUGACGUAAACUUACUAAAUUUCCAAUAUGUACUGGUAAUUCAGUGAGACUCCAACAACUUGAUAAAUUCAAGGUCUGUAAAUUGUAAAGGUUACAUGUUGUAUCAGGCAAGCUUUUGAUUUUACUGAAGGAGAUAUCUAGAUACCGCAACUGCACCAAAUUUCCAAUUGAAUCUGGUAGCUUGGUGAUGUUUACAUACCCUGAUAGCGAUAACACACGCAACCUUUUUUGUGACGGUAGAAAAUCAUCAAUCAACUUGAAGGAUAAAUAAUUGUCCGUCCACGUCAUCGAGCAAAUACAUAGGAAGCUUCGCAAACAUUUAAAAUUGUGUAAUUUCUCAAACUUCAUGAAAAUGUCAUAGUAUUCUUGGUUAUAUGAGAAGUGACGAACAUUUUCAAGGAUGUCACCACAUUCAAGCCUGCAACAACUUUUUCCUGAUACGAAUGUUGCUAAAUCAUUAACAAGGUCAUGCAUGACAAAUUUUUCCCCACGAUCAUCAUUGCUUAAUUGUUGAAUUAACGAUCUCGAUAACAAUUCAGCAAAACAAUCAUCACCUAAUUCCUCCAACUUUUUCCCCCCUUGAGAACAAUCAAGGAAGCCUUCUGCCAUCCACAACAAAACCAAUUGCUUCCUAUCGAGUGGGCAAUCCUUUGGAAAAAUUGAACAAUAUGCAAAGCAUCUUUUCAAGUGAGAGGGAAGAUAUUGAUAACUCAAAUGCAAAGCAGGAAGAAUAUUAUCAUUUCGCAAGUUCCAUAUGUUGCUGUUCAAAAUUGAAGUCCACUCUGUUAUGUCUACCUUUGAACGGAGAAGUCCUCCUAGUGUUUUAGCAGCAAUUGGCAAUCCUCCACACUUUCUUGCAAUCUUCCUGCCUAUUUCUUCAAGGGUUGUGUUUGUACUAUUGUGAAACUCAUCAUUUCCCAGUGCAUGCUUUGAGAGUAAAGUCCAACAAUCUUCAUUUGAUAGAAGAUCUAAUUUAUGUAUAGGAAAUGUGUGUGCCACCUCAGCUACUUUUUCUUGGCGCGUUGUUAUAAUCACCAUGCUUCCAGGUUUUCCAUCAAUGAAGGGGCUUACUAGUUCACCCCAAUCAUUAUAAUUGUCAUUCCACAGAUCGUCCAACACAAACAAAUAUCUUUUCUCCCUCGAGAUUUUCUUUAACUCAACUCGAAGGACAUCAAGAUUAUUGCUUUCCGAAGUUAUGGAAGUGGCAGAUUCAAGGAGAGACUUUGUUACUCUCAUAAUAUCAAAAUCCUCAGAGACACAAACCCAUGCCUUCAAAUCAAAAUGUUGUUGAACUUCUUUAUCAUUGUAAACAAGUUGGGCAAGGGUAGUUUUUCCUAAACCUCCCAUGCCUAAAAUUGCAACAACACCUAUAUUAUUGUCGGUUGUUUCUCUCUUUGAAAGCAACAUGUUCAUUAUUGUCUCUUUGUCAUCCUUCCUACCCACCAUGACAGAUUCAUUUACCACUGAACUUGAAGGUGUUCUACGUGAAACCCUUGUGCUUUUAGUUUGCAAACGAAGUAUAUCUUUUCUCUUUUCAAAAUGUUGCAGGCUUUCACACAUGAUCUUCAUCUGGGAAUUGAUCUCUCUAUAGAAGCUAUUGAAAGGAGAUAAAAGGAAGUUCCACACCUGAUUACUUCUGUUUCCAGCUUGUUUACUCUCCAUUGUGCAUCGCAGGGAAUCAUAACUGAUUUCGUGAAGCAAAUCCUCGGCAUCAAAGACAGCAUCUUUCAAGCCAUCAAGCCAUUGUUUGACAGCAGGAUUGUUGAUCUGCUUCUCUUCUGCGUCAUCCAGCACAACUUGAAGAGUGAGCAGUGUUGUUUGUAACUGCCUCAAGAGUGAGUCAUUGAGUUUGGUGUUUUUGAUGUAAUCAAGAAACUCUGUUGAAGCAAGUUUCUCAACUAAGGUCUGAACAGUUGCAGAGAGAAAAGCUCCUCCUAUCAUAGUUGCAGCCAUCUUCUGUUGAUAUUGUUAAAGCAAACCAGCAACUAAGGUAUGAAACUUGUAGAUAAUAGUAUGGAAUUUUGAUGGAAAUUAAGAGCUAUGAAGAUUAAGGGAUAACAGUAAGUAGCAAAGACUCAAAGAAGACUUGCUUGUGAAUGAAUGGAUAACACUAACAGUGCUGUUUUUGAAUGGUUGGAAGUGCAUAUAGAUAACUUUUCUUAUCUAUAAUAUGUAUCAUCCAACAGAAAAAAUAAAUGCUUGUUUGUGGACCCACAUUAGACUAAAGCAAUUGGCAUCUUUGAAGUUUGAAUGAUAAAUUCUACUGUAGACCAUUUCAAUAUAUACUCGAUUGUGGAUCAACUAGUAUUUGAAAAUUGUUAGAAACUCUAAUGAUGAUAGUUAUUGGCGUUUAGAAAUAGAAGCUUACGAUUCUCUUUGUCCUCACCGCUAAGACAGUGACUUGAUCGGUGUUAACUCGGCCAAAAAAGAGAACGAAAUUAGUCCUUUAAAUUUAUUUUCUCCUUGACUCUUCAAAAUGAAGCUGAAGUGCUGGACCCAUUGAUAGCAAUUGAAGUUUGAAUAUUAUUGUUGUACUGUGUGAGCAGUUAAUAGAGGGCCACCUCUUUCCUAUUAAUAUCAUCCAAGGAUAUUUGAAAACUGAAAUUUUUUCGAACAAUAUGUUAUCAUCAGUAACAAGUCAUUGAUGAAUGGCUGCCUAUGCGUUUCACUGCCCUUGAAAUUUCAGUUUAGUUUCACAAAUCUAAAUAAAAAAUAUUAAGAAAAGUCUUCGCUGAGGAUUCUAUAUGAUAUUUAAAAACUUAUGUAUCAAUGCCAAGUGAUGUGAGCGGGAAGGUUCAACCAUUAAUGUCAAUUGCAUUUGGCCAAGAACUUUAAUUUCUUCCAAAUGUUGUACAAUGAACAGAAGUUUAUAAUGGUAUUAGUAUUCACUUCCAGAUAUGAUUUGAGAAUAUUACAAUGCCUAGUACACCAAUCUUUCUUAUUUGAGAACAAAGUUUCAUAUAAGCCCAUACCAAAAAUCAACAUAACAGUACCAGCAAGAUAAACAUCUGCAGCUACAAGAUUCAUUUAAUUUUUUGUCAUAGAGAAGGCUAAAUGUCAGUAAAAACUAAAUCUUAUCAGAAAUUUGGACAGAAAUCGAAGUAAAGUUAAAACAGAAAAAGAAAAAAGUUAUUUUCAUGUUGUUUGUUUGGAAAUAUGCAGGUAAGAUAUGAUCUAGAAUGUUCUUUCUCAUAAUGAUGGAGAAUAAUAUUUUUACCAACUGCUUCAACCAGGCGUAGAACCAUCUUUCCGGUGUGAACUCCUUUGACACAACUUGACCAAUAAACUUUGUAUGCAUCGACAAUAUAAACGCAACCCUAAAAUGAGCAUGAAUAAGUUAAAUACAUGUAGGCUUAUUCCUGACACGAAUAAGUUUCUUAAUUUGACACUAUCUCGAAAAUGACCUGAUCAACACAACCAUAUAGAUCACUUUGUUCAAAUCAUAAAAGAAUAAGCAUUAGGCAUUUUGUAAAAUUUGGUUAUGAUGACAAUGACAGACAGAGGAUCUUUUAUGUAAUCUUUCCAAGGUUAAAAAACUCAUUCUGCUUAUAGAUUUUUACAUAGCAACCAAUCAUAUUAAUCAAGGUGUAACAAGUGAGAGCCAUUGAAUUGAAGUUAUUUUUACUAUAAGAUCAUUGCAAUAUGGUAAUGUCAUAAUAUCCACGCAUGGGCUGGGGGGCAUGAAAAUAUCUAGCUUAUUUAUUUCCUUUUCGUUUCAUAUUUAGUGAAAAUAGUCUCGCAGGUUGUUUGGCAAGCAUUGAAAGCAAAACUAAUAAAUAUGUUAUUGGUGGGGCAAAGACUAAGAAUCUGUUUCUAUUUAGUAAAAAAUAGUGAAUAACCGAUAAGUUAGCUUAUAGUGGAUGAACUUACAACAAACCUAUAAUGAAUAACUAUAGCAGAUAAGUUACCUGAUUAAAUCAGCUUAUAUGCAAGGAAUGACAUAAGAAAGACAUUUAUUUAAUAUAUAGAUUUUCCAAUUAAUGCUACAAGGGUAAUAUUGAAAUGAUAAAUGAUAAGCUAUAAACCACUUGAAUUAGCUUAUAAAAAGAUGCUACUCCCCGUCUCUAAAUAACAGUCGUUUAAGGUUUGUGCACGAUUAUUAAGAAAAUGAUUAAUUGUGUUGAUUUCAAUGGUAAAAUUAGUAUCAUUUAUUAAAACACUCUUAUUAAUUAUUAAUUGUAGUUAGUGAAGUAGUUAAGUUGGAUGAAAUUCAAUAAAUAAGGGUAUAAUAAUGGGAAAAAAUAAUAAAUGUUGCAUUGGUAUUCUAAAGUGACAAUUAUUUUGAGAAAAAGAAAAAAAUGCUAAAGAGGCAAAUAUUGUGAGACGUAGGGAGUAUAAGCUUAUAAGAAAGUGACGGUUAUCAAACAAGUCUUUUUUAGGCAAAUAAGUUUACAAGAUAUAAGCUUUAAAGUCAAAUAUGUGUGGCUUGCUCACAGACCCUAAGUAAUUUAGUUUAAUUUUCCAUUUUUAUUUCUAGUUUUCUUGCUUGUACACCACUUUUGAAUAGGUACUAUAAAUAAUAUUUUUUUGAGAAAUGAAAGUAUAUAAUUAUGAUUUCUGUUGACUGAUAUUGAUAGUUUGAGUUUCAAUGUGUCAAAAUGUAGUGUCAGGAUUCAGGAAUGCCACUAGAGAUGGGAAAGAAUAAACAACCUACGGAAUCAAGUGUUCGUGACCCUGAAAAAAGAGAAGAAACUUCUGUUAAAUGUUUUUCCCCGUUUGGCUUCGGGGUGAAGGAGUGGUUUUGGAAGAGGCAACACAACCCAAAGAAAUGUAUUGAAAAAGUGCAUGAAAUCUACACAAAGGAAUGCGUUGAAGUAGAGUCUGGACUCUUUCUUCUUCCUGAUGACAUUCUUGAAUUGUGUUUGGAUCGUCUUCCAUUCGAAGGUCUCAAGAAUGUUAGGCUUGUUUGCAAGAAUUGGAGUUCCUUCCUUACCACUGAGAGAAUCCUUCAAAUAAUCAUUGUUGCUAGCAUAAAUGAUGGAAUAAUCAUUGUUGGAGGAAAAUCAAAUAUUGGCAAAGUAGUAGGUCCAAUUAAAGAACACAAUGAGGUUGUUUUUUUCAAUGCUGUCACAAAAACUUGGCAUAAUAUGCCAUCUAUGAAAUAUUCGAGAGCUCUUCCUUUAUUAGUAGUCAUUGAGGAUUCUAUUAUUCCUUGCAAGUAUUCAUUUUCAUUAGUAAAAUGGCUAUGACAUGCAAGUUCAUUGGACAAAGAAAAAGUGAUCGUUCAUCUACAAGCUCAAAGGUCUUUAAAAGAUCAUUUUUAUUGAUUGCUAUAGGAAGAACCGUGAACGAGUCAUUGUAUCGUGGAGAAAUUUAUGAUUCUUCAACAAAUGAAUGGACUGAUAUACAAAGUCUUCCUUUAGAUUUUGGGGGAGUUAGUUCUGGAACUGUUUGUAAGACCAAGUUUUAUGUUUGUUCAAGGAAUGAAAAGCUUGCAGCAUAUGACAUAGAAAGAGGUUUUUGGAUUGUAAUUCAAACAUCUCAACCAUUCCCAUCUCAUGUAUAUGCUAAUCCAUACCACCCUCAUCUCGUAUCUUGUAAUGGACGACUUUUCGUGAUUUCCAGUUGCUUUUGGAAUGGACAACAUUCUAUGGUUAGAAAAUUAUUUGAGCUUCAUCUUGUGGAUCAUACAUGGACUGAAAGCCGUUGGAUUUCGAUACAGUUUCGAAUUCGAUUCACUUGCACCCGACCCAAUAGCAUUGAAAUCAAUGCACAUGAUCAGUAAGCAAUGAUAAGAUAGUUUUAUUUUGUUGGAGUCUUUUACAUCAUCUGUUAGAAUAAAUUCACAUUGAAAUUUUAUUUUUUUGACAAUCAAGUUUUGGUUAGCAUGAGCCUAUAUAAAUGUCAAGGCUAUUUUACUUUUCUUGAGUUCUUAGUUUGCAACAGUUAUGUUUCAUCUCAUUAACAAUAAUUUUUAAUUCUACGAGAGCUUUCAAUUCAACGGAUUGAUUGAUUUAAUAUGUCAUCUACAAAGAGCCUAUAUAAAUGUCACCAAACUUGUGAUUUUUGCACAUUGGAGCUUUUAUUUUUUGACAUAAUUAUUUAAUUUAAUUUUUAUUUAAUAGAAAACAAAUCUGAAUCUUUGAACUCCAUUCUUCUUCUUCUCCUUCAUCUCAGUUCUUCUUCAUCAUCUCCUUCAUCACAACCCGUACUGUAGUGGUAUGAAAAUUGAAAAGGACGGCAAGAAGAAGAAGGAAGUUACUAUUUCUAGGUAUGGGUUUGCAUUUCGAUCUCACCCCUUAUAUAUAUAUAUAUAUAUAUAUAUAUAUAUAUAUAUAUAUAUAUAUAUAUAUGCGUGUGUGUGUCUUAAGGAACAAUUGUGGAGUAUAGAUUAGCCAAUUUUUAAUUUAUCUUAGUUUAACAAUACGAAGGAGAAAAAGAGAGCAAUUUAUCUGGAAAAAAAGGAGAUCGUGUUAUGGUUUAUCUUAGUCUAAAUGAACUUUUUAACCUUCAAUUGCUUUUAAUACGAAUAUUUUUUUUUACCGUAUUUUUCUCUUUCAAUCAUUCAAUUUCCAUACAUGGUCAUCAAUGAUAUAGUAGAAGCAUAUUUAUUGGUGAAAAUGAAAAUCAUUAUGGAUACGUGAUAUUAUUUAAUUUAAUCCAUACAACUAGGGGUGUUCGCGGUGCGGUUUGGUUCGGUUUCAAGCAUAAUAAUCAUCCAAACUGCGAGAGAAAAAAACAUGCGGUUUGGUUCGGUUCGUUUGAUUUUUAAAAAGUCAUCCAAACCAAACCAAACCAAACCAAUGCGGUUUGGAUUGGUUCAGUUGAUGCGGUUAAUCGCGAGAUAAAUAAAAAAAUUACAUUAACACUAAUAUUGCCAAUUAGUACCAAGCAAUUUUAAUUAUUCAAAAAAAGAACUUGAAGUUCCAAAAUAGCAUUAAAAUACCAAUAAAAGUUAUUUAUCUAAAAUAACAUUACAGUACCAAAAUAAUAUUUAAGAACCAAAAAAGAACAACUUGAAGUUCCAAAGUAACACAUUAUCAUAGCUGGAUAGUGUUGGGCUUGGGCUUGGGUUCACUUUGGUAUUGGGCUAGUACAGUACUUACUUAGUUUAAUAACAUUGAGUAUUUUUGCGGUUUGGUUUGGUUUGGUUCGGUUGCUGAGAUGCAAACCGCAAACCGAACCGAACCGCGCGGUUCAGUCUAAAAGUCAUCCGAAUUCAUCCGAACCAAGUGCGGUUUUUUGCGGUUUCGAUUUGGGUUGGUUCGGUUUGCGGUUUUUCUAUUGGGUUGGUUCGGUUUUGAACACCCCUACAUACAACUGUCUAUUUUCAUCAUCAACAUGUGUUACCGACACUUAGGGAGGAAAUAUUGGAAAAAAGUGAACUUAGUUAAUUUAAUAAGAAAACUCUCAAGACUCUUAUGUCUGAUUGUCCGAUUGUCCAAAAGGUCUAUUAUAAAUUGCAUAAUGAUUUUUUAUAUUUAGUUAACUUUAAUAGAACACAUAUGAUUGGUUUUCUGGUUAUUGUAUACUAACAGUUGUAAACCAACACACGUAAAAAGAUAUGACGGAACAUCAUCUAUGUGGUAUAUACCAACAAAGUUUGCAGUACAUACCAUACAAAUUUUAUGUUUCAUUUUACUAUAACUACAAAAUUUGUAAAGUCUUUUAUUUCAUUCACAUGAAAGCAAUACACACUUGAUUGGAUGCACGAUACUAAGGUUGUAUGGGAGUUUUAUCUGAAUGACCUCAUGGGCAGAAUAUAGUACUUCGAAAGGUGUGAUUUAUGAGAUGUACACAAUACUAUAGUAUGCAUGAUAUACCAAUUUCAUCUAUUUUGUGAAACUAAUGCACUUAAUUAUGUGAGUAACUAGCUGAAAAUUGUAUAGCAUAUGCAUACUAUUGUAUUGAGUACAUUUCAUAAAUCACACAUUUUGAAGUACUCUAUUCUGUCCAUGAAGUCAUUAUGGUAAAACUCCCUUACAACCUUAAGAUUGUGCAUUCAAUCAAGUGUGUAUUGCGUUCGAAACAAAUAAAGUUUCAUGUGAAUGAAAUAAAAGACUUUACAAAUUGUAAUUAUAGUAAAAUAUGUAAAGUUUCUACCGCAAACUUUUUUGAUAGGUCCGUCAUAUCUUUCUUCGUGUGUUAGUUUACAACACAUUAGAUUAAUGACCUAUACAAUAACUAAAAAACCAAUUAUACAUGCUCUAUUAAAGUUAACUAAAUUCAAAAAACCAUUUGAGUUUUGAGAGUUUUCCUAUAUCCCACGACCUCAAAUUCACUUUUUGCCAAUAUUUCCUCCAUGUGUAAGUAAGUGUCAAUAACACAUGUAGAUGAUGAUGAUAAUAAACAGUUGUAUAAAUUAAAUUAAAAAAAAUCACAUACCCAUAAUGAUUUUCAUUUUCAGCAAUAUGUAUGUACGCUGCCAAAUAUGCUUCUAUAUCAUUCAUAACCAUGUUUAAGAAUGGAAAGAUUGAAAGAGGAAAAUAUUGUAAAAAAUAAAUAAAAAAUACAUCCAUAUUAAACUAAAUUAUUUCUUUCUAAUGAUGAUAUUCUUCAAAUGUGUUUGGGUGGUUUCCACUCAAAAGUUCCUAGAAUGCUAGGCUCGUGUUCAAAUAAUGGAGUUCCUUAAUUACUAAUCCUAAACUCAUUCGUAUGAGAAAGAUUGGUACUCAAUAUCAACAUCUAUGGUUGUUUGUAGGCAUGACAACAAAACCCAGACCCGUGGUUACCCGCUCGAACCAAACCCAAUUUGACGGGUUUUCCCCGUUUUGACUGGGUUUGGGUUUGGGUAUGAGUAUGGAUUUUCCCCAAUCUCAAAACACGGGUAUGGGGCGGGGUGGGGACGGGUUUUCCAAUUGAGUUUUUUUUUUUACAUUUUUUGUAGAACUGGUGGCUAUUGGAAUAAUGUAUUUUAUUGAUCGCCUCUUUUUCAAUAAAUAAUGUGAAAAAGUGUUUCAACUGUGAUAUUGUAUUCAGGAAAUCGGAAAUGAGUUGUGAUCCUUGAAAAAGUGGUAUGAUGAAUUUCAGCUAAUGGGUGUAACGCUAGACAUAAAGACAUUCAACAUGAACAUGAUGAUAAGGUCCUAUGGCAAAGCAGGCAUGUAUGAUAAAAUCAAGAACGUGGAUUUCAUGGAGAGGUGGUUUUUCGCUCCGACAAUUGUAACAUAUAAUAUCGUCACUGAAGUUUAUGACACAGCAUGAGAAAUUGAGAAGAUUUAUAUACACUCCAAAAACUUAAUUCCAUUUUUGCUGUGGGGGUGACGGUUGAAAUUACAUUUCCUGCUGUCAAAAGAAGUUUUGAUUGUACAUAGUUGAAGGAAUUGAUUGUAAAAAGAAGUUUUGGUCCUGACUUUCUAGAUUUUGUAGCAGGUUUUGUAUUAAUCCCAAUCAAAAAUAUUUUUUCUAUAGCUUAAAAUAUAUUAAAGUUCAAUUAUGUGAAAAUGAAUAUGCAUGCUAGAUCAGUUUCUAUUCUCUGCUCUUAACAUUUUGCUUCCACUUUCUGUUUUCUCAAAAUCCUGAUUGGAAUCACAGUUGAUGAGAGAAUUGUAUUAGGCAUUUAAAAUGAAAUAACAGGAUAAGUAUUAACUAUUUGACCACAUUAUUUAUUAUUUUAGAAACAACAACAACUCACAUUCUUCCACUAAAAGCUACAAAUUAAGAAUAUUACAAACCCUACCGCAUUCUAAUCUAUUAGACCAAAUCAUGCAGGUUAUUUGGAAGAAACAAAACUGUUAAUUCAACAAAUGUAUAUAGGAAUAUGAAUAUUUAGAACCAAUAUUAAUUCAACAAAUGCAUGGUUUUAUCAUAUGAGCAUUCACUUAAAGUUACAAAUUAAGAAUCACUUGAGGAAAAAAAAGUUACAAAUUAUAAAUAUUGCAAACCCUACAACAUUGUAUUUUGUCUGACCAGAUCAUCCACAUAGCUAGGCCUUUGAUCUCCUGAAAAGAUGAAAUAAACAUUUUCCUUUGAUUAGCUCCGAAGAUAUGAUUGUUAAAUUUUUUUUGUUGUAGAAAAUGUUCUUUAGACAAUUCCAUUUGGACUACAGUUUAAAAAACAUAAUGAGAUUAAUGUAGCAGUUACAGCUUUAUUUAACAAAUGUGCAUAAGAUUUGAUUCUGUGCAAAAAGUAUACAAAAUAUUGAAUUAUGAGAAAUCGCCAAAUAAAAACUCAACCACUGAGAAUUCGUCUUUAAAGAUUAAUUAGUUGCUAAUAUGAAAAUAUUUUGAGAUAUCUUUGGAUUUGAUUGUUAUCACAAUUAAUGACUAGAGAGGUAAAAGAAAAACAUACCUGAAAACGGGAACACAACUUGUCUAUCAUAUUGUGAUUUGGUCGUUUAUUUUUAUGACGGGGAUGUGAGCAAUUUUGGACCAAUGUUCCUUCCUUUUAUACCUUUCUUCUAACAAUGGGCAUCCCAUAAUGACCAGUCUCUUCAGAGAGGAAGGGAGGCUGUCUUCUGGUAAUGACUCAAGCUUUUCACAAUUAAAAAAAUAGAGAUUUUUGAGAGAGGAGAGGUGUCGAAGCCCAUUUCCAUCAAAGGACUUCAUUUCAGAGAGAUAAUUGAUACGUAGAUGCACAAGGGAGAUGGGUAGCAACGACUCCUUCAUCAAGGUGUUAACUAUAUCAUCAUCCUUUCUAAUACUCAAGCUUGACAGAGCUGUUAGAUCUUGGAGACCCCAUUCCGUAACCGGCGGUGUUAUUCUUCGAGAUGAAAUCCAAAUUGAUUGUAAUUUGAGAGGUAGACAAACUCCUUCACAAAAUGACAACUCUCGACAUCCCAAACUCAACCUUUCAAGAGCGGUGAGCAUGUCCAUCUUAAGCUUGACUUCAAAUAAUUCAAUUGAAGCAUGGGAGAAGAUCUGAAGUGAUUCGAGGCUCGACGACCGAGGUGAAGGACUUUCUGAAAUACAAAUGGAAUCCAGAUUCCUACAAUUCAGUAUCAUAAGUGUUUGGAGGACAGGGAAACCAUCAAGUGGAAAGGAUAUAAGUGAAUCACAGCUACGAUAUAAAUAAAGCCACACAAGUGAUGUGUAAUUGCUCCACAUUUCAAGAGGAAGGAAGGAUAAAUUCUCACAGUAUCUAAUUUCAAGUGAUUGCAAUGAAGUGGGUAGACCACUUGAGGGAAAUGCAGUGAGAGAAGAAAGAGAAUCGAGUUCCAAGUGUGUAAGACAAGUGCUUCUCAGAAUCAAUUUUGGAACAGCUAAUAACUUAACACAUUCACGAAUAACUACUUCUUGCAUCAUACACGGAGAAUCACUCUCAAGCAAUGACAGUUGGGAACUUUCACUCUCAAGCCCAUUGAUAUUCAUUUCUUUUAUUGAAGACAACCAAUGCAGAGUAGAUGGUGUUUCCAAUAGAUGAGAACAACCUGAUAUUACAAUUUCUUCUAUGGAAGGAAGGUUGGUGGGCAAAUGUCCCCUUAGUUCUGGACAAUUACGUAACUCUAUAGCCUUAAGUCGAGGAAAAGCAAAUUUUAUGCCUUCAAAGGGAAUCCAUUCAUUCCAAUUGAGCAUGUUGUCGAACUUUAUACGCUCAAGGGAUGGGAAUGGUUGGAAGGAAGAAUUAGAUCCUUCUUCAAUCUUGGCAUAAUAGAACUCCGGGCCAAUUGUCUCCAACAUCUCCAUACCACGUAUUUCUAUGUCCUUGAGAGAAGGUAACUGCCCUAGGGAUGGAAGUGUCACACAAUUUUCACAAUUACUGAUACUGAGAGAUACCAUGUUAUAAAACGAAGAACUUCCCAACCAACUCGGAAAGCUUGUCCCACCAUACAAGCAAAUAUGCAGGCUCUUCAAAUUUAUUGCUGGUUGCAACAUAUCCAACACAACUUUUACUUUUUGCAAGUCUUCACUUUGUUUUCCCCAUAUCAGCUCUAACUCCUCAAUUUUCUCUUUGCCUUUCAGGUUUGCAUCGUGUGCCUCUCUGGCAUCAACAACAUUAUCUAGGUUCUUGAUGGUAAGUUUUCCUUGUAGGUUUGGGAAUUUCCUUAGCUCUUUGAUACCUAACCCUACGUGGGGCUUACCCACUAAAAAGAGGGUGAGAGUUUGAAGGUUUUCUAGUCGCCCAAUUUCCACAGGCAACUCAUUUAUAUUAGUCCCACUUAUAUCAAGGUGACGUAAACUGACUAAAUUUCCAAUAUGUACUGGCAAUUCAGUAAGACUGUCACACCUUGAUAAAAUCAAGGUCUGUAAGUUGUAAAGGCUACAUGUUGUAUCAGGCAAGCUUUUGAUGUUAGUGAAGGAGAUAUCUAGAUACCGCAAUUGCACCAAAUUGCCAAUUGAAUCUGGUAAUUUAGUGAUGUUUGUAUACCUCGAUAGUGAUAACACACGCAGCCUUUUUUGUGAUGGGAGCAGAUCAUCAACCACCUUGAAGGAUAAGUAGUUUUCAUUGAAUGAAUGGGAGGAAGUGGAUAGAAAGCUUCGCAAGCAUUUGAAAUUGUAUAAUUUCUCAAACUUCAUGAAAAUGUCAUAGAAUUUUUGGUUAUAUGAGAAGUGACGAACAUUUUCAGGGAUGUCAUCGCAUUCAAGCCUGUAACAACUUUUUCCUGAUACGAAUGUAGAUAAAUCAUUGACAAGGUCAUGCAUGACAAACUUUUUUCCACAAGCAUCAUCGCUUAAUUGUUGAAUUAAUGAUCUCAAUAACAAUUCAGCAAAACAAUCAUUGCCUAAUUCCUCCAAAUCUUUUCCCCCUUGAGAACAAUCAAGAAAGCCUUCUGCCAUCCACAACAAAACCAAUUGCUUCCUAUCAAGUGGGCAAUCCUUGGGAAAAAUUGAACAAUAUGCAAAACAUCUUUUCAAAUGAGAGGGAAGAUAUUGAUAACUCAAAUGCAAAGCAGGAAGAAUGUAAUCAUUAGGUAAGUUCCAUACAUUGCUGUUCAAAAUGGAUGUCCACUCUGUUACAUCUACCUUUGAACGUAGAAGUCCUCCUAUUGUUUUAGCAGCUAUUGGCAAUCCUCCACACUUUCUUGCAAUCUUCCUGCCUAUUUCUUCAAGGGUUGUGUUUGAACUAUGGUGAAACUCAUCACUACCCAAUGCAUGCUUUGAGAGUAAAGACCAACAGUCUUCAUUCGAUAGAAGUUUUAGUUCAUGUAUAGGAAAUGUGCAUGCUACCUUAGCAACUUUUCGUUGGCGCGUUGUUAUAAUCACCAUGCUUCCGGGUUUUCCAUCAAUGAAGGGACUUACUAGUUCACCCCAAUCAUAAUAAUUGUCAUUCCACAAAUCAUCCAACACAAACAAAAAUCUUUUCUCCCUUGAUUUUUUCUUUAACGCAACUCGAAGGACAUCAAGAUUAUUGCUAUCCCAUGUUCUUGAAGUGACCGAUUCAAGGAGAGACUUGGUUACUCUCAAAAUAUCAAAAUCCUCAGACACACAAGCCCAUGCCUUCAAAUCAAAAUGUUGUUGAACUUUUUCAUCAUUGUAAACAAGUUGUGCAAGGGUAGUUUUUCCUAAACCUCCCAUGCCCAAAAUUGCAACAACACCUAUAUUAUUAUGCGAUGUGUCUGUCUCUGAUAGCAACAUGUUCAUUAUAGUGUCUUUAUCAUCCUUCCUACCCACCAUGACAGAUUCAUUUACCACUGAACUUGAAGGUGUUCUACGAGAAACUCUACCACUUUUAGUUUGCAGACCAAGUAUAUCUUUAUACUGUGCAAAGAAUUGCAGGCUAUCACACAUGACCUUCAUUUGAGAAUUGAUCUCUCUGUAGAAGGUGUUAAAAGGAGAAGAAAGGAAGUUCAACACCUGAUUAGUUUUGUUUUGAGCUUUUGCAUUCUCCACCUUGCAUCGCAGGGAAUCAUAACUGAUUUCAUUGAGCAAGUCCUCAGCAUCAAAGAUAGCAUCUUUCAAGUCAUCAAGCCAUUGCUUGACAGAAGGAUUGAUGAUCUGCUUCUCCUCUGCAUCAUCCAGCACAACUUGAAGAGUGAGCAGUGUUGUUUUUAACUGCCUCAAGAGUGAGACAUUGAGUUUGGUGUUUUUGAUGUAAUCAAGAAACUCUGUUGAAGCAAGUUUCUCAACUAAGGUCUGAACAGUUGCAGAGAGAAAAGCACCUCCUAUCAUAGUUGCAGCCAUCUUCUGUUGAUCUUGUAAAAGCAAAUCAGCAACUAAGGUAUGGAAGUUGUAGAUAAUAGUAUGGAAUUUUGAUGGAAAUUAAGAGCUAUGAAAGAUUUAGGGAUAGCAGUAAGGAGCAAAGACUCAAAGAAGACUCGCUUGUGAGUGAAUGGAUAACACUAACAGUGCUGUUUUUGAAUGGUUGGAAGUGCAUAUAGAAGUGCAUAUAGAUAUCUUUUCUUAUCUAUAAUAUGUAUCAUCCAACAGAAAAAAUAAAUGCUUGUUUGUGGACACACAUUAGACUAAAGGAAUUGGCAUCUUUGAAGUUUGAAUGAUAAAUUCUACUGUGGACCAUUUCAAUAUAUAGUCGAUUGUGGAUCAACUAGUAUUUGAAAAUUGUUUGAAACUUUAAUGAUGAUAGUUAUUGGCUUUUAGAAAUAGAAGCUUAUGAUUCUCUUUGUCCUCGCCGCUAAGACAGUGACUUGAUCGGUGUUAACUCAGACAAAAAAGAGAACGAAAUUAGUCCAAUAAAUUUAUUUUCCCCUUGGCUAUUCAAAAUGAAGCUGAACUGCUGGACCCAAUGAUAAUAAUUGAGGGCCACCUCUUUCCUAUUAAUAUCAUUUAAGGAUAUUUAGAACAAUAUGUUAUCAUCAGUAACAAGUCAUUGAUGAAUGGUUCCAAUGUACAAAUAACAAAAGAAAGACAAAAUGAAAUAUUGGUGUGGAGACAAGAUUUUAAUAUUUUUGAUGUGUUUCUCUGCCCUUGAAAUUUCAGUUUAGUUUCACAAAUCUAAAUAAAAAAUAUUAAGAAAAGUCUUCGCUAAGGAUUCUAUAUGAUAUUUAAAAACUUAUGUAUUAAUGCCAAGUGAUGUGAGCGGAAGGUUCAACCAUUAAUGUCAACUGCAUUUGGCUAAGAACUUUAAUUUCUUCCAAAUGUUGUAUAAUGAAGAGAAGUUUAUAAUGGUAUUAGUGUUCACUUACAGAUAUGAUUUGAGAAUAUUACAAUGUUUAGUACACUCUAAUCUUGCUUGUGCAAAUUAUGUAGGAUAUACAAUGAUGUCGAUAUGAUAAGAAAAUACAGACUGAAUACCCAAGUAAAUCUAAUCCUGUGGCAAUGACGGCCGUUUUGCUCCUCUCAAAUAUUUUUACAAGAAGAAUCAUUACAAUAACAUGCCCCACUUAGGCCUUUCAUGAAAAUGAGACAUUACAUACAUGAUGAUUAAGAUAAUUCAACAGUUGGAGUGCUAAAAUAAAAUGUCUAUUGAGAGUUAUGAAACGGAGUAACCGAUGAGAGUUACUCAUAGAGUGAGUGGAGGAUCGCGACCAUACCCCCUACAUGAUUAUAGGGUUUAUAAUAGCUUUCAAAGCGAACAUUCCGAAGAGAGAGGACCCUUUAAGCGCACGGUCAACAGAAGGUGACAUAUCAUGAGGUGUGUUGCUAAUGAACAAUCCAUAUAAGCCCAAACCAAAAAUCAACAUAACAGUACCAGCAAGAUAAACAUCUGCAGCAAUAGGAUUCAUUUAUUUUAUUGACAUAGAUAAGGCUAAAUGUAAGUAAAAACUAAACCUUAUCAGAAAUUUGGACAAAAACCGAAGUAAAGUUGAAACUUCCAAAUGAAAACAGAAAAAGAAAAAAGUUAUUUUCAUGUUCUUUGUUUAGAUAAUGAUGGAGAAUAAUAUUCUUCCCAAUUGCUUCAACCAAGUGUAGAACCAUCUUUCCGGCGUGAACUCCUUUGACACCACUUGACCAAUAGACUUUGUAUGUAUCGACAAUAUAAACGCAACCCUAAAAUGAAGCAUGAAUAGUUAAUGUAUGUUUUAGUUAAUUUUUUUUUUUUGCUGAAUCAAAAGCAAACAAAAUCAUGAGGAGAUAGUUUGAAAUCCUAACUAGGUUGGCACUCGACGGCUGCCCCAUCCUCUACCACGUUGCUCAUCUCUAAAUAAAUGUGGGGAGAGAGUACCACCAAAUAACAUCAACCAAGUUGUGACCAUGAUUUGCUAACUUAUCUGUACAACAAUUUCCUUCGCGAAAAAUAUGAGAUGAAAGGAUGGAAAUGCCUCCAUGCGUACACUUAUGCCACAUUUCAAAGAGAAAAUGAAACUAACGAAGGGUUCCGGAAAGCCUGCAAAGCACUCUGGGAGUCCCUCUCCACCAAAAGAUGACGCAGAUGGUGUUGAAUGGCAAAUUCCAGAACCAACACAAAGCCAAAUAACUCAGACUCAAAAACUGAUUUUUGACCCAAAUUGUAAGAAAAACAACCCAAAAAAGAUCCUCGAUAAUCACGAAAAAUGCCACCACAAGCAGCCAAGCCAUCAACAACUGAACCAUCCAAAAUCAACUACACUAAGGAAUGUGUUGAAGUACAGUCCGAAAUCUUUCUUCUUCCUGAUGACAUUCUUGAAUUGUGUUUGAAUUGUCUUCCAUUUGAAAGUCUCAAGAAUGUUAGGCUUGCUUGCAAGAAUUGGAGUUCCUUCCUUACUACCGAGAGAAUCCUUCAAAUAAAGGAUACUAGAUGCCAAAAUCUAUGGUUGUUUGUGUUUGGUGCUCUCAUACAACCCUUUUCUGAUUUAGAUUAUCAUGUUAACAUGAUACAUGCACUUGAUCUCUGUUGUGUCAAUGGCAUAGUAUAGAUGCUGACAUUCUCAAAGGAAGGUCCAUGUUCUCUGUUGCUAGCAUAAAUGAUGGAAUAAUCAUUGUUGGAGGAAAAUCAAAUAUUGGCAAAGUAGUAGGUCCAAUUAAAGAACACAAUGAGGUUGUUUUUUCUAGUGCUGUCACAAUUUCCUGACUCAUGAUUCCCAAUUGUUGAAAAGAAGAUUUUUUUGUAUCAAUUUACAAGUACAUUUUUUCGUUUUCAAGAAAAACAUUCAAUUGGAAGUUGAUAUGCUUAUAUAUCAUAUAUCACAUUCAAGUACAUUUUUUGUUUUCACCAGAAAUAAUAAUUGCAAUACAUACAUGCAUGUUGGAAUAUUAUAAGUAAAGACUUUAGUAGUCUUUGGCACUCAAAAUAAUUGAUCCAUAUUUUGAAAAAGGUUUGUAUAAACUCAUGUUUUGGUUGGGAUGAAUGUUGACUACCAUGAUCUUUAACUUAUUUCAAUUAUUCACUGUGACCUACGUGCAGUAAUUUGACCAUAACUCAAGUUCUAUAAAUUGUUUUGACGUCAGACCAACGACAUUAGAAAGCUAACAUCCAUACCUACAACUUUCGUGUUUACACCUAAGACCAAUUCUGUAUCAAUCAAUACCAGUUUUUAUUUCAUAUUCGGGGCAGAGAUGAAAAGAAAAAUCAGAAGAAAAAAAAAAACCUAUAUUAUUCAACUUCACUUUCAUUCAAAAUCAUCACAAUCAUCACUCUUAACCCUAAUUCUCAAAUUCUCAAAAACUAAAUCUACAACAUAUUAAAUACAAUUUUCAGAAUCAUAGACUCAAGAUUAUUGAAUGUUAGUCCCACCCUUACCUUAAGAUUAACGAUCGACAGCCUUUCCUCUUGGUUCUUCUCUUCUCUUGUUUUUCUCUGACUUCUCACUUUCUCCCUUUUUCUCCCAAAAACAGUUUGCACGAAAUCCUUAUUUUCUAAUUCUCACUCUCUCCUUUUAUAAUAAUCUUUAACCUACUUAUUUUCUCUUAAUUCCAAAUAUGCCCUACAAGUCUUAAUAUUCUAUUCUAAUAUAUAUUAUAAAAUAUUUCUAUAACAAAUAACAAAUAUAUCUCUAUAACAAAUAUAUUUCUAUAAUAUAUAUAUUUCUACACCAAAUAACAUAUAUAUUUCUAAACCAAAUAACAUAUAUAUUAUACUAACAAAUACCAACAUAUAACAUAACAAAAUAUCACUCAUCUAAUUUCCAAAUCAGCUCCCACAACUUAAUCUUAUUUUAUUUUCAAAUCUUAUUCUAUUAAAUAAUAAAAUAAGCCACUUAAUAAAUCACAUAAUCAUAUAAAUAUAUUAUAAACUUAUUAAAACAAUCAAAUAAAUCAAAUUCAAAGAGGGCGUUACACCCACCCCCCAUGAUUUUAGAUUCAAUUUCAAUAGUUUUGCUUCAAGAAAUUUUGAGGAUUUUGGCUUUCAAAUUCAAUAUGAAAAAAAUUAGGGUUUGAAGAUUUUUGAAUUGGGGAAGAACUGGACCAUUUAUAAUUGGAGGAUAUUUUGGAGAUUUUAAAGUGUAAAUUACAGAUUGUGUAAUUAGGGUUUCAAUGUUAUACAAUUAGAUUUUAAAGUGUAAUUAGGCUUUCAAUUUCAAUAUAUUUACUAAAUCCAAUUAAUUUUAUUUGUAUGUGCAUCUAUAAAUUUACGAGUAUUUAAAAUAUGGUGUAUUUUAUUAUAUUUAUGUGUAUUUAUUAAGAUAUUCAUCCUAUAUUAAUCCGUAAUAAAUUUUAUUUGCAAUAUCAACAUAUAAGAUGGUGUCAAUUGAGAUAGAGCCAUGAACUAUAAAUUGUUAAUCCAAAAAAAUGGAAAUCGAAAACAAAAUGAAAAAGUUAGUAGGUCUCAGAUGGAGUCACGUAAAACUUUCAAUAUAAGACUAGCUACAAUGGGGUGUUGAAUUUGGGAUUCAACAUGUUGAAGCCAUGCAAUGAGGGGUGUUGAAAGAAGGAAAAAUCUGAGUUGGAGGAGGGAAGUGAUGAAAGAGUUCAACUAGUUGAAUGCCUGCCACGGGGGACAGCUGUCGCGUGUAACACCCCGUUACCCAAAUGUAAAUAAAUAACAAAUAAUCAUCAGAGUAAUUCACCAAAAACGGGUAUGCCACAUUUCAAAAAUCAAAAUUCUUAAAUAGCAUAUGAAACUAUUUAAUUAAACCACUUGAUAAAAAUGAAAACAUAGCAGCGGAAUGGUUUUCAAAUCCAACAACAGCCUACGGCAUUAAAGGCCUUAGCAUAAUUCAACAACAUUGUUCAAAAGAUAAUAAAGGCUCCACAUCACAAAUCCAAAAUUCGAUACAUGGAAAAGAAACAACAAUGAUAUAAAUAACAGUUCCCAUCCCACGUAUCAGAGCCCUAAACACGACUCUUGAGCCACCACCGACUACUCAGGAUCACCUGCAAGUUACCCAUAGGAAGGGCAACAUUUUCAAGCAGAAGGGGUGAGAUUCACAACAAUAAACAUAGAUAAUAAAUCUUCAAUUGAAUCUAACACCCUAAAACUUCAGUAUAUCAUCUUGCAAAUAUUAAUAAUUUAUUCACAAGUCACAACAACAUCAUCAUAAUAAUCCACUUAAUAAGUAUGUAUACAAUGUACAUAUUACCACAACAUUAACAAUACAACAUGAUCACAAUGAAUAUAUAUAAAUAAAUGUAUAUUCAACAUCAACAUCAUCCAUCAGAUAAAACUGAAACAACAACCAAGACUCAUGCAAAUGACAUGACCACUGCUAAGACACCAUCUUAGACUUCUUAAUGAAAUGCAUUAUGCAUGUGAUACCAAUCAGGACCGAAGCCCUCACCGCUUUUGAAUGGUUAAAGCAUUCAUCAGGACCGAAGCCCUCACCGCUGUUGAGCAACUAGUACUCCAGGACCGAAGCCCUCACCGCUGUUUUUAUGCAUAUGCAAUGGACCUACUUGUGUAUAUCUACAUACAACUGACCAUGCAAUGCAACUCCAUGUGACUCCACUUAAACGACAUGUAUGAUUAAUAAUUAAAACAUACAAUGCAUUCCUCAUCAUCAAUCAACAACCAACAGAGAUUCAACCAUUCAGAAUGAUGCACAAUUAAAUAUAAUUAUGCUUAAACAACAACACUCAAACCUUAUCAUCCAAGCAAGCAAAACUGCACUCAAAACUGCACAGCUCGCCUCGCGAGCACAUCUGCUCGCCACGGCGAGUUCACAGAAACACUAGCUCGCCAUGGCGAGUUCAAGGCGAACUCGAGGCGAGUGGAAAUCAGGUACUCUCGGGAAAAAGUGACAUUUUCUCACUCAAACUCCAAUUCUAAGUUCCCUAUUCAUCUUUUUAACCCAAAACUUCCACCAUUCAUCAUUAAUAUCAUCUAGAUACCUUAAUCCAUUCCCAAAACAUCUUAUAACAACUUUUCAAAAAUCACAUUUUUCUGGGAUUGCUCGCCAUGGCGAGUUGGACUGCUCGCGAGGCGAGUGAUGAAGUUGCUCACUCGCGAAGCGAAGCACGAAUGCUCGCGAGGCGAGCGAUGAACUUCUGUACGGGCAGAAAACUGGUUUUUCCCCAAAAUCCCAUUUUUCUUCCAAUCACUCCCCAAAUCAGUUUACAGAUACAAAAUUAAGCGUUCUAUGCAACCAGAAACCAAUUUUUAACAUCAAAUUCAGGCUUACAACUUCAAAAAUCUCAUUUUCAACAUAACACCCAAAAUCCCCAAAUUUCACUAAAACCUGUUAAACUCAAAAUCAGAAUCUAAAAUCUACACUAUUGAAGUAAACCCUACCCUUACCUUAAAUUUGCAGAAGAAAUGUGCAGCAAAAAUCCACUCUUGGUUCCUCCUUGGUUCUCUCUUGUUUGCUCCCAAAAACUGCUUCUACGUAAAACUGAUUCUAACUUCUCUGUAUAACUUCCCUCUUAAAAGUAACUCCCUUCUAUUUUCAUUUAACUCCCUUUAAUUAUAAUAAAUAUUAAAUAACUCCCCUAACUCCAAAGUAACUAAUAUUUCAUACUUAUUCUAAUUAUUAUUAAAUAAACCAUAUAAUAAAAUAAUACACCACAUAAUUCACCCAAAAUCACACAUAUAUAUAUAAACAUAUGCAUAUAUUCCACAUAAAUCACCAAACCAUCAUAUAUAAAUGUAUAUAUACUCCACAUAGUUUAAAAUUAAUUAAAUAAAUCACUAGGGCGUUACAACUCUCCCCAAAUUACAGAAUUUCGUCCUCGAAAUCUUACCUCAAGCAAACAACUCCGGAUACGACUCUCCAGCUCCCAAGUCAAACUUUCACCAGCCGCUCCACCCCAAACGACUCUCACAAGAGGUAUCUCUUUACCUCUCAAAGACUUCACCUUUCUGUCAUCAAUCCUCAAUGGCAUAGUCUCAACCGUCAGGCUGUCCCUAACCUGCACGUCAUCAUCCCUCGGGAUCACAUGAGAAGGAUCCGCAACAUACUUCCGAAGCUGAGAAACAUGAAACACAUCGUGCAAGUUCGAAAGGUGUGGUGGCAAACCAACUCUAUAUGCCACUGUACCAACUCUCUCUGAAAUCUGAUACGGACCAAUGAAUUUAGGAGUCAACUUUCUCGACUUCAAAGCACGACCGACACCCGUCAAAGGAGUGACCCUCAGAAAAACAUGAUCACCCUCCUGAAACUCAAGAUCCUUUCUUCGCUUGUCAUGGUAACUCUUCUGUCGACUCUGCGAAGCUUUCAUCUUUUCUCUUAUCAACCUGACUUUCUCAGUAGUCUCAUGAACUAAAUCCGGUCCCAACACAAUACUUUCACCCGACUCAAACCAGCACAAAGGAGUCCUACACCUCCGACCAUACAAGGCUUCGAACGGUGCCAUACCAAUACUCGAGUGAUAGCUGUUGUUAUAAGUGAACUCAAUCAAAGGCAAGUGACUGUCCCAAGCUCCACCUUGCUCAAGCACACACACCCUCAACAAAUCUUCCAAUGAUUGAAUUGUCCUCUCCGACUGACCAUCUGUUUGAGGAUGAUAAGCCGAACUCAACCUCAACUUCGAACCCAAGGCGUCCUGCAAACAUUUCCAGAACCUAGAAGUGAACCUCGGAUCUCUAUCCGACACAAUACUAACGGAACACCAUGAAGCUUCACCACACUGUGAAUAUAAAUCUCUGCUAACUGCGCUACCGGAUAACUGAUAUUGAUAGGAAUGAAGUGUGCCGACUUCGUCAACCGGUCGACAACAACCCAAAUAGCGUCAUGCCCCCUCGGAGUGUUCGGUAAACUCGUCACAAAAUCCAUAGAGAUACUGUCCCACUUCCACUCCGGUACAUCUAACGGUGUCAACAACCCUGCAGGCUUCUGAUGCUCAACCUUAGACUUCUGACAAAUCAAACAGGCAUAAACAAACUGAGCAACAUCUCUUUUCAAACCGGACCACCAAAACAAUUUCUUCAAAUCAUGGUACAUCUUUGUAGCCCCCGGGUGAAUACUCAACCUACUCUUGUGACUCUCCUCAAGAAUCAACUUCUUCAACUCUUCAUUGUCAGGAAUACAAACUCUACCUCUGAACCUCAGCACACCCUGAUCAUCAACCUUAAAAUCACUAUCCUCAGUGUCAUUACCAGAAGUCAUCAAAUCAACAAACUUCAAACUUUUAUGAUCACUGAACACCUCAAAUCUGGAACCGUACAAAUAAUGCCUCCAGAUUUUCAAAACAAAAACCACUGCAGCUAACUCCAAGUCAUGUGUAGGAUAAUUCUUCUCAUGAACACGCAAUUGCCUAGAAGCAUAUGCUACCACCUUACCAUCUUGCAUCAGAACACCACCUAGGCCCAGCUUAGAUGCAUCACAAUACACAACAAACGGUUCUUCUGGUUUAGGCAAAAUCAAAACAGGAGCAGUUGUCAGUCUUCGCUUCAACUCAUUGAAACUACUCUCACACUGAGCAUCCCACACAAAAGACUUACCCUUACAGGUCAACUGUGUCAACGGAAGAGCCAAUUUCGAAAACCCUUCUAUGAACCUGCGGUAAUAACCAGCCAAACCCAGAAAACUUCUGAUCUCAGUUACCGACUUCGGAGUCUCCCAUUGUGAUACCGCAUCAACCUUUGAAGGAUCCACUGCAAUACCACUACCAGAAAUAAUGUGACCCAGAAAGCUCACUUCACUUAACCAGAACUCACAUUUUGACAACUUAGCAUACAACCUCUUUUCCUUCAACACUUGCAAUACAAUUCUCAGAUGCCCUGCAUGCUCUUCCUCGUUCUUGGAAUAAAUCAAGAUAUCAUCAAUGAACACCACAACAAACUUAUCUAGAAAAGCAUGGAAGAUUCGAUUCAUGUACUGAUGAAGGAUUUUUACCUCUCAUAAAACUAUUUACACGUAAGUAUAUAUAGGAUCGUGUCCACAGGGAGUUGCGUAUUUCAUAAGCAUUUUCACAAUAUUUGUCACGUUAAGUGUUUGGGUAUAAAUUGUUUGUUUGUGUAAAACUAUUUUCCUAAUCAACAUGAAAGUAAAGCGAGAAGAGAUAGGGCUAUUUCGCUUGCGGUCAGAGACAUCAACCAAGCGUAACAGCUGCAAUCUCUCGAUCGAUUAACGGAUUCUAGCUUUUUAAACUAUAUUAUCACAAUCACUCGACAAUAUCAUUCGUGUCCAAAUGAUAUCGUUAUUUCUAAGGGAUCGUUUAAACAUCGAUUUCCCAAACAUUUAAACGAUCACAAAGUCGAUUGGGUAGUUUAAUCGACGAUUUCCCAACCGAUUAAAUUACCCAAAAGCAUUAAGUCCUAGAUUAAAAGUGAUUAUCAAAUAUUAACAUCCAUGUCUAGAGUGAUAACUUAAGAUAGAUUGUUAUUCUAUUUCUAGAUUCAAAAGUAUGUGUCCAUAUCAUUUUGAAUCUCAAUAAAACAAUACAAGCAAGAAUAACAACAAUAUUGAAUAAAUAAGCUAGAACCAUAUAUUAAAAGAUCAAAGGAUUACAUAAUAGCUUGUUUGAAUACCUCAAAACUACAAGAGUAGAUGUAGCUACAUAUGUCUAUGAUAGCUUUGCAAAGGAUGAAGAAAGGGUGAAGAUUCCAUGACAAGAUCCAUGAUGUCUCAACAAAUCUUGGCUCGAAUCUACUCCUAACUACCUUGCUUUGUGUUUCUCUCUCUAGAAAAGCCCUAGUCUCUCUCUAAAACCAGAAAAAUAUGAAUAAAAAUGUAAUAAUAUAUCAUGGAAAGAGAAGAGAAAACUAUUUAUAUGGGCUGACUGCGUGUCAGCACGCUUAAGCGUGCUAAGGUCGCUUAAGCGAGCUACCAAAAAUAUCUUCCUUUGGCCAAUUGGGAGCUGCCACGUGUGCCUUAUCGUAUUAAUCUGAUGAACUUCGCUUAAGCGUGUGAGAAGCGAGCUGAAAGCGUGCAAAUCUGGUACUCACUGGACAAACUUCGCUUAAGCGUGACACAGGUCGCUUAAGCGUGCAGCUCUUUUCUUCAUAAGCAUGCUGCAAGCGUCUGGAAAAGCGAAGAUCUUGAUGCUCUCUGGAGCUGGUUCGCUUAAGCGAACAGGAGGUCGCUUAAGCGACCAUCUCUUGGUUCAGGAAGUUCUUUCUUGGUCCUUGCUUGUCGUUUCCUGCAUAAAUUGGGUAGUGUUAUACCCUGUUUUUGGACCUAAAAAUACUGGGCCCAAUUUCGUUUCAAACUUUGUCAAUUAUUAAAUUUCAACUGCACAGUUCAAAUUGUCUCUGCCUCGCAGUAUUUUCAAUCACAAUUUCAUCUAUGUUUUUCUUGCAUAAAACCUUUUGAAAUGUCUUUACUUGUCUUAUAAGUCAUUCAAAAGUGUCUCUGAAUCAUUACAUUGCUUUUUUCUACAGUUUAUUUCAAAAUUUGCAAAAAAGUCAUACAGAAGGGUAUUUUGGUCAUUUCCUGCAGUGGGACCCAUUUUCAUCCUUGUGACUGUCUCCGAGUCUUUUCAAAUUGUUUUUAAACAUUUCAUCAGUAAGCCUUAUCAAAUUCAUUUCAAACUUGCAUCCGAGUCAGUGUCAAGUCGAUUUGAUUCUGUUUAGGUCAUUUUUAGCCCUAGGGGCAUUUUGGUCAUUUCACACAAAAUUUUGGCAUAGAGAGGUUACUUUGAAGUACCUCAUUUAGGUCAUUGGUUCGUUUUAGUCCGUUUUGUCAAUUUUAUUUUAGUUUCACUUUACGUUUUGUCAGGUUACCAAUUUUAUUCCAAUUUUAUUUUUUAUUUUAUUUUACAUUUUAGUCCCCAAAGAGGUCCAAAAUUGCAUUCCAGUCCAAUUUUCUUUCCAAUAUACAUUUCAGUCCUUUUUGGUUAAUUGCAGUUUAGUCCUCAAUUUCUUUGUUUUUGCAGAAAGGUCCAAAUUUCUUUUUUGUCCAAGGCCGUGCCACUCUUAUACAAUUCCAGGUGUCACCUUUUUAUUGGAUCUCAAGUACACAUGUCAACUAUAAAUACAGUGAGUCAGAUUCAGAGCCAUUAAUUACACGCCAACUCAUAAACACAAACUCAAUUUUCUCUUUCUCAGCAAUUGGAUCAAGACAGAAAAGUUUCUCAGAAUCUCUCAAGAACACCAAGAACACAAAACCCUAACCGUUUUCCAGAAAUCAAAAUUCAUCAGAAUCAACAGUUUUUUGGAUCAAUUCUCAGAGAUUCUGUGGAAUCUUCAUCAUUGGAUUGAUCGUUCUCUGCAAUUCCAAACGCGAGCUCGCAUUGAAGCAAGCUCAAGCGUUGAUCACAGAGCGUGAAAAGAAGAAGGAAAGAAGCAGAAUCUGCAGAAUCUGGACCGGUGAAGCAAGCAGAAGAAUCAAGAAUCAUCAGAAAACACAGAAUCAAGUUUUUCCAAAGAUUUCCUCCAUUAAAGGUUUCAACCAAAACCUUAGGUAAAACUCAGAAUCUCUUCUCAGAAAAUAAUAUCAUAGUUUAACCCUGUAAAAAAUCACGCAAGCAAGCAUAUCAAAAAAAUUUCCAGAAUUCAAAGAAAACCGUAACCGUAAGCACGAAACCUAGAUCCAUAAGGAUCUAAGUUUUGAAAACAAGAACGAAUACCAGAAGAGUAAUCAAACGACGAAACGAUGUAGAUCUUUAAAGAUCUAAACGUUUUUGUUCAAAAAUCAAAAAUCAUUUCAAAACCGUAUAAAGUUUUUCCAAGAUCUACGUCGUUUCAAGCUGUGUUUGGAAAAAUAAUUGCUGGAUUCGUGUUUAGGGUUAAAGGACGAAUCAAAAGAUGCAAGAAUCUUUGAAAUCUGGAAAAUUAGGUCACCGGAAACUGCAUGAACUCGCCGGAGAAGAUGAAGUUUCCGGCGGACCUUCAAGGUCUCCGCCGUAGCUUCAUCCUCGCCGGCGGCGAGGUUAGAGAGAGGUGAGAGACGAGAGAAGAGAGAAGAGCUAGAGAGAGAAUGAGAGCAGCAAAAUGAAAUAAACCGGAGCUCCUUCCUUUUUAUAAGCCAGCGAACCAGACCGGUCCAGUCCGGUCCAUUCUCCUUUGAUUCCUGGCCGUUUGAUCUAGGGUUUCAGGAUCCUGGAUCAAUCGUAUGGUUCCUGUGCAACCGGAUCUUUUAGGUUUGGGCUUUGGGUUUGGGCUCAAGUUUCUUUUACGUUUUUUUGCUUUUUUGCUACCUGCACCCUGUUUCUUUGCUAUUUGAACCUCUGCAUACUUAAUUUUUCUUAAUAAAAUUUCUAAAAAAAUUAUCACAUGUUUCUUGAUGUAUUUUCAUGCUUUUGUGAUACUUUUCAAUAGUUUUAAAAAUGGUAAAAAUACAUGUGAUAUUUUCUCGUUUAAUUAGGUAUUUUGAUACAAAUUUGUGCAUUUUUUAGUAGUGCAUUCUCUCAAAAGAUGAUGGCAUAUGUUGUGAAUGAUUAAUAGGCAAUUUUAUGAUAAAUUUGUUGCUGAUCCUAUGUGUGGCUUGCUGCUUGUGAAUAUGAAUCUUAUUUUUCUUCUUGCCUUGCAAUUAGUAUGUGUUUUAAUAAUAAAUAAGGUGCAAAAUGUCUUGAAAAUGUGUCAUGUGUAACGCCCUAGUCAUUAUUUUAUUAUUUUUGGAAUUAUUUAGAGUCUUUUAUGCAUUUUAUAAAAUAUGUGUGCUUUGUUUGGUGUAUAAUAUUUAUUUAUAUAAUUUAUUUAAUAUAAAUAGAAUAAUAGAGAUAAUAGAAUUAUUUAGGAGGUUAGGGAUUAAUUAGAAAUUAAUAGUAAUAAGGGAGGGUUUAAUGAAAAAAAAAGGAGGUUAUGGUUUUGGAAAGUCAAGGAAAGAAAAAGGAGUGAAAACUGUUUUAACGUAAAAACAAGUGGGGAAGAGAAAAGCUAAGGCAAGGGAGAAGACCAAGAGAGAAGAACUAGAAAAUCGAUUGUUGAGCUUUCUUUGUCUUUGCAAUUCUAAGGUAAGGGUGGGAUUAUCUUUCAAUGAUUAUAAUGUAUAAUUUCUGAAAAGUAAUCUAAUUGAAUAGUUUUUAAGAAUAAUAUGAAAAUUAGGGUUUGAUGAUGAUUCUGAUGGAAUGGGUAAAGAUGAUGUUAGUUUUUCUCGGAAUUUAACGUUAAGAAUGAAAGCUUAACCCAUGUUGUUGCUGCAAUCCAUUAAUUGAUUGAAUUUUUGAUGAAUUGUAUGAAUUGAUGAAUAUUUGUAUGUUGGUAGAAUGUUUCUGUAAUCGUUGCUGCUGAUGGUUGAAUUGUGUAUUCUUUAUUAGGCCUAGUUGUAUAUAGGACCUGUAAACAUCUAUUGGAAAACAUUUUGGGUGAUCAGGGGAUUAAAAUGGGGUUUUUGGAGUGAGAAGGAGUCUGAAACCGUAGGUUUUGCACUGCCCAGAUGAAUGGUCGCUUAAGCGAAGCACCCGUCGCUUAAGCGAGCAUUCAAGCAAGCUGCCCAGAAUGCGAUUUUACCCGUUCGCUUAAGCGAACUGUGAGCGAACUAGUAAGCGAAAAUUAAGUUUGAUUCUGCCAAGAAUUCGCUUAAGCGAAUGGUAAGCGACUCUGUGAGCGAAAAACCAUUUUGAUUCUGUCCAAAUUUCGCUCAAGCGAACUUGUGAGCGAACCGUGAGCGAACCUGAACCUAGAUUUUCCUGUAGCUGGUCGCUUAAGCGAACUGGGUCUUAGUUAACCUUUUCUGAAUUUUGCUUCGUGCACUAGGGGUUCCUUUUUUAGUACUUCUAAGUGUUUUCUUUAGCUUGUAUAACCCUUGUAUAGGUAUUAAAUCUUGAUUAUACUGCAACGUUAAAUUGAUUGAUUAAUCUUGUGAAUUUUGGAGAGUUUGUAAUUGCAUUAAAGGGUGGUGAGUCAUAUAAGUACAUAUGCAUUUGUUGUCGAGUUGUAUGCAGAUAUACACAAGUGGAGUCAGUUGCAUAAGCAUAAAAACGAUGAGAACUUCGGUUCUGGAACGCUUUGUCGUUCAAAACGAUGGAACACGAUGUUGUUCAAAACGAUGUUAACGAUGAGGACUCAUGUCCUGAUAAAAGAAUGCUUUAACCAUUCUAUAACGAUGAGAGCUUCGGCUCUGAAAUGGUACCACAUGCAUAAUUGCAUUAGUUGAGGAGUCUUAGUAGAGUUGUCGUGUCUUGCAUGAGUCGUAGAAGUGAAGUCGAGCAGUUGCAUGAGUCAAAGUUACUGUUGACAUUAUUGAUGAAUGAAUGAAGUUGUUAAUGAAUGUUAUAUUAUGAUUGUUGAAUGAUUAUGAUGAUAGGGUGUUAGAUUCAUUUAUGUUAUUAUAUAUUAUUAUUAUUGUUUGAGAAUCUCACCCCUUCUGUUUGAAUGUUGCCUCGACCGUGGGUAACGUGCAGGUGAUUCCGAGUAGUAGGUGUGGUGGCUCACAAAGUUUAGGGCUCUGAUACGUGGGAUGGGGUUUUAUUAUUUGAAUUCUUUUCUAUGUAUCAACUUUGAAUUAUAACUGAUGUAGUUAUUUGGUGAUCGACUGUUAUGUUGAAAUGGCCUUUAUGCCAAGAAUAAUUAUUGUAGAAUGAAUGAUGAUGAAAAUAAUCCGCUGCGAGUUAAUGACAAUUUUAUGAACGACGUUUGAUUAAAUAGAUUUUUAUAUAUCCUCUAUUUAACCAUUUUUAAAUGAAGAAAUGUAGCAUGCUCGUUAUGAUUACUCUGAUUAUUUUGUAUUAUUACUAUUUAAGUAAUUUUGGGAAACGGGGUGUUACAUCAUGAGUUUUAGCUUGAAUAUGUCCUAUUAAUUCUCACCUUAUGGCACAAAGCAAGACUUCUAAAAAUUUGCCAUAAUGAAGGGAUCAUAGGUCAUGCACAUGCUAGAGUUUUAGGGCCACUUUCAUGCACAUUUUGUCACUUUAUUAGUCUCUUUUAUGUCUUUCCUCUUAAUAUUUUUGUGCACUUCUUUUAUUCUAGGCUUCAUUUUACUAACUAUUUCAUCUCAUGUGUCAUACAUUUCAUAGCAUUCCACUACCUCCUCCACUUUCUUUAGCUUAGCAUUUAUUUUUGCAAAUUUUAAUUCAUUUGGUGAUGUAAUUUGUUAUCAUUGGUUUGUAGCUUGGCAAAGGGGCCAUAGAAUGUAUUUAGGCAAUUUUUGUAAUAUGGACUAUGGACACUAUGACGCACCGACACGCACACACUCACCCUAGAUGUAUGUUUAGGAUUGUAUGCAUAGAUGUAUGGCUAGGAUUGCAUGAUUAGGUGAACGUUUAGUUUCGAACACUUAGAGAAAAUCCAACUUUUUUCCAAAAAUACGCAAAUAAAUUCACUUCAAAUAUUUUUAUAAAAAAUGGAGUCAAAACUCCAAUAACUUUUCCCUUUUAUUUUCUUAAGUAAAAUUUCUAACAAAUCUUAACUAUACUUGGACUUUAUUUUGAAAAAGACUAAUUCCACCUCACCUUUUCCAAAAUCUCAUGCCCUUGAGGCCUCUCAUCUCUAUUCUUCAAAAUCUCUUUUCAAACUUAAAAUCAACCAACAAAAACAAAAACUAUUUUUUGAGAAUGAACUACGCCGGUUUUGAUCCCGUAAAACGGUACGUAGGCAAGGGACUUUAACCCCUCCAAGCCGAAAUAAAAUCAAAUUCUACUUCUUCUCACCCCCAUUCUUCACUAAUCAUACCUUUGUUUUUUACAAAUAGGCAAUAAAACUAAAGCGUAGAAAUAAACUUAGGAGAGCGGUUCUUAUGGAAUACCAUAAUCACUCCGGGUGCCUAACACCUUCCCGUAGCGAAAACGACCCCCGAAUUCGGAAACUCAAGGGUUUUUCUCCUUUUACCCUUCCCAAGAAAAAAGAGAGAUAUCAACGGUCAAAAGGUUCAAGUCCAACUAAUGGCUUGGCACCCAAAAACCAUGAUAACAGAAAUGGCGACUUCACUGGGGAUUCUUUUUUAGCGGGUCGCGCCUAGUUUUCCUUAGUUUAUAUUUACGCUUUGUUUUAUUGCAUAUGUAAAUACUUGUUUAUUUUCAUUUAACGUGUGGGGUGAGAAUAUCAAAAGUCCUAUACCCGGGCUGAGUGAACUUAUGUUUAGGUAGAGAUAUAAUCGACAAUUCGAUCCGGGGGUUGCCUCGUGUAUUGGAUUAUGCGAUCAAUCUCACAUAGCUGAGGCAUUUUGAAGGUGAUAUUGUCGGCGUGUGUUGUCAUGCUUAGGCAUUUCACUUUCAAUUGUUCGACGAAGCUAUGAACCGUAGUUACCAAACCCAUCCUAGCCUUUUUAGGACGUAGUGCGGUGGCUAAAUUGAGUGUUGUCUCAAACUUUAGUCGUCACGCGAUACUACACUCAAACUAGACCUUCUCACAAAUAAUCAUGGAACGGGUGUCGUCCUGUACUACCAUGAUAUAUGUGAGAGAGGUUGCAGUUUGGGAACUGUGUUAGAACCUUGGUUACUACUAUCCAAGGCCUUAGUUCACCGGACGCCGUGUCCAUCCGUGGCCCCGUUACUUUGAAACUCAACCCACUUUGUUCUUUAACAACACAAUCAUGCAUACAUGCAUUCAUGCAUAAACAUUUUUCAUGCAUUCAUCGAAGGGUUUAAACAAAUGGAAAUUUUUGUAAAUAAUCACAGGUAUGAAGAAGACUAAGUGCUACAAGUUCAAGGAGGUGGAUUUGGUUAGUUUGAGAGAGUUAGCACUCAAGGUCAAGAGUCAAACAGGGUUCCGACUCCGAUAUGGGGGAUUGCUUACUUUGCUCCGAACCGAUUUGGACGAGAAGCUAGUGCACACUCUAGUGCAAUUUUAUGAUCCGAACUUCCGUUGCUUCACUUUCCCGGACUUCCAGUUGGUUCCUACUCUCGAGGCUUACUCCAAUCUAGUGGGUUUACCUAUAGCCGAGAAGACACUUUUCACCGGUCCCGGGACUUCUCUUACUCCUCUGGUUAUUGCUAAGGAUCUCUACCUCAAGACUUCCGACGUCUCCAACCAUCUUAUUACCAAGUCUCACAUCCGGGGGUUCACUUCGAAGUAUCUUCUUGAGAAGGCUAAUCUCAGUACUACUCGUCAGGAUACACUCGAGGCUAUUCUUGCUUUGCUUAUCUACGGGCUCAUUCUCUUUCCGAACCUCGAUAACUUCGUGGACAUGAAUGCUAUCGAGGUCUUCCAUUCCAAGAACCCGGUUCCUACUUUACUAGCAGACACCUACCACGCCAUUCAUGACAGGACUCUCAAGGGCCGUGGGUAUAUUCUUUGCUGCAUAUCUCUUUUGUAUAGGUGGUUUAUUUCGCACCUUCCGAGUUCCUUCCAUGACAACUCGGAGAAUUGGUCCUACUCGCAGCGGAUUAUGGCUCUCACUCCUAAUGAGGUCGUCUGGCUCACUCCUGCCGCUCAAGUGAAGGAAAUCAUUAUGGGUUGCGGAGACUUUCUCAAUGUACCUCUUCUUGGUACCCGUGGAGGAAUCAACUACAACCCCGAGCUUGCUAUGAGACAGUUUGGUUUCCCUAUGAAGUCGAAGCCCAUCAAUCUUGCUACAUCUCCAGAGUUCUUCUUCUACACGAAUGCUCCUACCGGACAAAGGAAAGCUUUCACGGAUGCUUGGUCCAAGGUUCGAAGGAAGAGUGUGAAGCAUCUAGGUGUGAGAUCCGGGGUUGCUCAUGAGGCCUACACUCAGUGGGUGAUAGAUCGAGCUGGGGAGAUUGGUAUGCCUUAUCCAGCUAUGAGAUACGUGUCUUCAUCCGCCCCAUCUAUGCCUCUACCUCUGCUCCCUGCGACUCAGGAUAUGUAUCAGGAGCAUCUAGCUAUGGAGAGUCGUGAGAAGCAAGUGUGGAAAGCUCGGUACAAUCAAGCUGAGAAUCUAAUCAUGACUUUGGAUGGUAGAGAUGAGCAGAAGACUCAUGAGAAUCUGAUGUUGAAGAAAGAACUAGCUAAGGCCCGGAGGGAAUUGGAAGAGAAAGACGAGCUGCUUAUGAGGGAUUCCAAGAGAGCCCGAGGACGACGAGAUUUCUUUGCCAGAUACUGUGAUUCAGAUUCCGAGUCCGAUGAUCCUCCAACUACCUCCUAUGCUUGAGGGCUUCAUUUGUUUAUCUUGUUGAAAUUUCAAAGUCUUCCUUUUGAAAAUGCUAUGUAGUUUUGAUUAUUUGCAAGAUUUCUAAUUUGUUUAAAAAUCCUUCGAUGAAAAAAUAAGUCUUUUGCAUUUGCAUUUGCAUAUCAUGCAUCAUAUGCAUCAUGCAUUGGUCACAAAGGCUUCCAAGUGCUCACUCUCUCCUGGUUUCUCUGCCUCAGUGUGAAAGGUGGCUCGUGCUCAGAGGGUCUACGAACCUGAUAGAAUCGAUCGAACCAGAGAAUACAGAAGAAAGAAAAGGGCUAUGGAAGAAGAGAACACGCAGCUUCGUACCGAAUUGGCAUCUUUAAAGGAGGAAUUGGCCAAAGCUCAUGAUGCUAUGACUGCUCUGUUGGCUGCUCAGGAACAACCAGUUCCCGUAGUUUCUACAGCUGCAAAUGUGACUCCUAUCGUAACAACUGAUCCCCGCCUUAUCAUGCCAUCCGGGUAUCCUUACGGACUUCCGCUGUACUAUACUGCUAAUACAAGGGCAGGGACCUCUGGUACUACCAACAAUGGCCCAAUCCCAGGGGCAAACUUAACUCCUGUUAGUACCGCCUUGACUCAAGCCGUAACAACUGUUACCGAGCCCAUUGUGAAUACGGUGCCUCAAUUUGUCCAUGUUAAUGCGCACCGCGGGAGUAUUGCCACUACCGGAACUAUGGAAGAGAGAAUGGAAGAACUUGCCAAAGAGCUCCGACGGGAAAUUAAGGCCAACAGGGGAAACGGAGACUCCAUUAAAACCCAUGAUCUCUGCUUAGUAUCGAAGGUAGAUGUUCCAAAAAAGUUCAAAGUCCCGGAGUUCGACAAGUAUAACGGGCUGACUUGUCCUCAAAAUCAUAUUGUCAAAUAUGUUCGGAAGAUGGGCAACUACAAGGACAAUGAUUCCCUUAUGAUCCAUUACUUCCAAGACAGUCUGAUGGAAGAUGCUGCAGAGUGGUAUACUAGUCUGAGCAAAGACGAUGUCCAUACUUUUGAUGAGCUAGCCGCUGCUUUCAAGAGCCACUACGGGUUUAACACUCGAUUGAAGCCGAAUAGGGAGUUUCUCAGGUCCCUAUCUCAGAAAAAGGAGGAAAGUUUCCGUGAAUAUGCGCAAAGGUGGAGAGGGGCAGCUGCCCGUAUCACUCCUGCUUUAGAUGAAGAAGAAAUGACCCAGACUUUCUUAAAGACCUUGAAAAAAGAUUAUGUUGAGAGGAUGAUCAUAGCUGCCCCGAACAACUUUUCGGAAAUGGUCACCAUGGGAACCCGUCUUGAGGAAGCCGUCAGGGAUGGAAUUAUUGUGUUUGAGAAAGCUGAAUCCUCUGUGAAUGCAUCGAAGAGAUAUGGUAAUGGACACCACAAGAAGAAAGAAACGGAAGUGGGGAUGGUGUCAGCUGGAGCCGGUCAAUCCAUGGCUACCGUUGCUCCUAUCAAUGCAGCUCAAAUGCCUCCGUCAUACCCAUAUAUGCCGUAUUCCCAGCAUCCUUUCUUUCCGCCAUUUUAUCAUCAGUACCCUUUGCCACCGGGCCAACCUCAGGUUCCUGUCAAUGCCAUCGCUCAACAGGUACAACAGUUGCCAGUUCAACAACAACAACAAAAUCAGCAAGCUAGACCUACUUUCCCUCCGAUACCUAUGUUGUAUGCAGAGCUUCUUCCAACUUUACUCCAGAGAGGACACUGCACAACUAGACAGGGUAAGCCCCCACCUGAUCCGUUGCCUCCAAGGUUCAGGUCUGAUCUCAAAUGUGAUUUUCAUCAAGGUGCCCUAGGUCAUGAUGUCGAGGGGUGUUAUGCUUUGAAGUAUAUCGUGAAGAAGCUCAUUGAUCAAGGGAAGCUGACCUUUGAGAAUAAUGUCCCACACGUCCUCGACAAUCCUCUUCCAAAUCAUGCCGCUGUGAAUAUGAUCGAAGUGUGUGAGGAAGCUCCUAGACUUGAUGUCCGCAACAUCGCAACUCCUCUGGUGUCUCUACACAUCAAGCUGUGCAAAGCCUCUCUGUUCAGCCAUGAUCAUGCCAAGUGUCUAGGAUGCCUCCGUGAUCCUUUGGGUUGCCAUGCUGUUCAGGACGACAUCCAAAGCUUGAUGAAUGAUAAUUUUCUGACUGUCAGUGAUGUUUGCGUGAUUGUGCCAGUUUUUCACGAUCCGCCUGUCAAGAGUGUACCUUUGAAGAAGAAUGCUGAACCUUUGGUGAUAAGGUUGCCAGGACCAAUUCCUUAUGUUUCGGACAAGGCAGUCCCGUACAAAUACAAUGCUACUAUGAUAGAAAAUGGAGUAGAGAUGCCUCUAGCCUCCUUUGCCACAGUAAGCAAUAUUGCCGAAGGGACUUCUGCAGCGCUAAGAAGUGGGAAGGUUCGUCCGCCGUUAUUUCAGAAGAAGGUAGCUACACCGACCAUUCCACCAGUUGAAGAAGUAACUCCAACCGUUGUUUCACCCAUUGCUACAGAUAUGAACCAGUCAGGCAAAUCUAUAGAGGAUUCGAACUUAGAUGAGAUUCUGAGAAUAAUAAAGAGGAGCGACUACAAGAUCGUUGAUCAAUUGCUGCAAACUCCUUCAAAGAUAUCUGUCUUGUCGUUACUCUUGAGCUCUGAGGCUCACAGGAAUACUUUGUUCAAAGUGCUGGAGCAGGCUUAUGUUGACCACGAAGUUACGGUAGAUCGUUUCGGUGGCAUAGUGGGAAAUAUUACUGCUUGUAACAACCUCUGGUUUAGUGAAGAAGAGUUGCCGGAAGUGGGAAAGAGUCACAAUCUGGCUUUGCACAUCUCAGUGAAUUGUAAAUCAGACAUGAUAUCAAAUGUGUUGGUGGAUACGGGUUCCUCCCUCAAUGUAAUGCCCAAGACAACUCUAGAUCAGUUGAGCUACCGAGGGACCCCUUUGAGAAGAAGUACUUUCUUGGUCAAAGCUUUUGAUGGAUCUCGAAAGAAUGUGCUGGGGGAGAUAGACUUGCCGAUAACCAUUGGCCCUGAGAAUUUCUUGGUUACUUUCCAAGUGAUGGACAUUAAUGCAUCCUACAGUUGUCUGCUGGGAAGACCGUGGAUACACGAUGCGGGCGCGGUAACCUCCACCUUACAUCAGAAGUUGAAGUUUGUGAAGAAUGGAAAACUCGUUACAAUCCAUGGUGAAGAAGCAUACUUAGUCAGCCAGCUGUCUUCCUUCUCUUGUAUUGAAGCAGGGUCUGCUGAAGGGACUGCUUUCCAAGGUUUGACCAUUGAAGAUGCAGAGCCUAAGAAAGCUGGGGCUGCUAUGGCUUCUUUGAAGGAUGCACAGAGAGCCGUCCAAGAGGGUCAAGCUGCCGGUUGGGGCAAGGUGAUACAGCUCUGUGAGAACAAGCGUAAAGAAGGUCUCGGGUUCUCCCCGUCAUCAAGGGUUUCCUCGGGAGUCUUCCACAGUGCAGGGUUUGUUAAUGCUAUCUCUGAAGAAGCCACUGGAUCUGGUCUCAGGCCUGUAUUUGUUACACCAGGAGGCAUUGCGACAGAUUGGGAUGCCAUUGACAUUCCUUCAAUCAUGCAUGUUUCUGAGUAAUGUGUCUUGUUGCUUUAGUGCUUUGUUUUCAAAAUAACAAUCCUCUCGCUCUGCCCAAAGCGAGAGUGAUAUUUUCUGUAAGGGCAUGUUUGUUUCGGCAUUGCCGUUGAUUAAUAAAAUUUUGUCGUUUCUUCCACGACUACUUUUUUUUAGUGCUUUUUCCCUUGGAAACAAUGGUAAUGCCAGAAAAAACCAAAACGUCUGUAUUUUCUUAUUAAUUUCAAAAAUCUGCAUGAAAAAAAAAAAAAAAAAAAAAACUCUUUCUAAAAUCAUCCAAUCAUUAUAUGCAGGUUGAACCAUAAUAAACCCGUUGAACACAGUAAUCCUACGGUUCCUCCAAGUUUUGAUUUCCCUGUGUAUGAAGCCGAAGAUGAGGAAGGUGAUGACAUACCAUAUGAGAUCACUCGGUUACUUGAGCAAGAAAAGAAAGCCAUUCAGCCUCACCAGGAAGAGAUUGAGCUUAUCAACAUAGGUACCGAGGAAAACAAGCAAGAAAUCAAGAUUGGUGCUACUCUAGAGGAAGGGGUUAAACGGAAGAUCAUCCAACUCCUCCGGGAAUAUCCGGAUAUUUUUGCAUGGUCGUAUGAAGAUAUGCCAGGGCUAGACCCUAUGAUUGUGGAGCAUCGGAUCCCCACCAAGCCUGAAUGUCCUCCCGUCAGGCAGAAAUUGAGAAGGACUCAUCCAGAUAUGGCUCUCAAGAUUAAGAGCGAGGUCCAAAAACAGAUUGAUGCGGGUUUCCUCAUGACGGUUGAGUACCCUGAAUGGGUUGCCAAUAUUGUACCUGUGCCAAAGAAGGAUGGUAAAGUCCGGAUGUGUGUUGACUUCAGAGACCUGAACAAAGCCAGUCCAAAAGACAACUUUCCAUUGCCUCAUAUUGAUGUGCUUGUUGAUAAUACUGCUCAGUCUAAGGUGUUUUCCUUCAUGGACGGUUUCUCCGGUUACAAUCAGAUCAAAAUGUCUCCUGAAGAUAGAGAAAAGACGUCUUUUAUCACUCCAUGGGGUACUUUCUGCUACAAAGUGAUGCCAUUCGGUCUAAUUAAUGCUGGUGCUACCUACCAAAGAGGGAUGACUACCCUGUUUCAUGACAUGAUCCACAAAGAAGUCGAAGUAUAUGUGGAUGAUAUGAUUGUGAAGUCAACAGAUGAGGAACAACAUGUUGAGUAUUUGACGAAGAUGUUUGAAAGGUUGAGAAAAUACAAGCUUCGAUUGAAUCCCAACAAAUGUACAUUCGGUGUCAGGUCCGGGAAGUUAUUAGGCUUCAUUGUCAGCCAAAAGGGCAUUGAAGUCGAUCCUGAUAAAGUCCGGGCCAUCCGAGAAAUGCCAGCUCCACAGACAGAGAAACAAGUCAGAGGUUUCCUCGGACGUUUGAAUUACAUCUCCCGAUUCAUAUCUCACAUGACCGCAACCUGCGGGCCGAUCUUCAAGCUACUCAGAAAGAACCAGCCUGUUGUAUGGAAUGAUGAAUGCCAAGAAGCUUUUGAUAGCAUCAAGAAUUACCUGCUAGAACCACCUAUCCUUGUCCCACCCGUGGAAGGAAGGCCUUUGAUUAUGUAUUUGGCAGUAUUUGAUGAAUCCAUGGGAUGCGUACUUGGUCAACAAGAUGAGACUGGAAAGAAAGAACAUGUUAUCUACUAUCUAAGCAAGAAGUUCACCGAUUGUGAAACUCGGUAUACAAUGCUUGAGAAGACUUGUUGUGCUUUGGCCUGGGCCGCUAAACGCCUGCGUCAUUAUUUGGUGAAUCAUACAACUUGGUUGAUAUCCAGAAUGGAUCCGAUAAAGUAUAUCUUUGAGAAAGCGGCUGUUACUGGGAAGAUUGCACGCUGGCAGAUGCUUUUGUCUGAAUAUGAUAUUGUGUUCAAAACUCAAAAGGCAAUCAAAGGUAGCAUUCUUGUCGAUCACCUUGCUUACCAACCUCUUAAUGAUUAUCAACCAAUUGAGUUCGAUUUCCCCGAUGAAGAGAUCAUGUAUUUGAAAUCAAAAGACUGCGAAGAACCGUUGAUGGAGGAAGGUCCAGAUCCCAAUAGCAAGUGGGGUUUAGUGUUUGAUGGUGCUGUCAAUGCUUAUGGUAAAGGAAUUGGGGCAGUCAUUGUAUCCCCGCAGGGGCAUCACAUUCCUUUUACCGCCCGGAUUCUGUUCGAAUGUACCAACAACAUGGCUGAGUAUGAAGCAUGUAUCUUCGGGAUCGAGGAAGCAAUUGACAUGAGAAUCAAGCACCUCGACAUCUAUGGAGAUUCUGCGCUCGUCAUCAAUCAGAUAAAGGGUGAAUGGGAGACCCACCAUGCUAAGUUGAUUCCUUAUCGUGAUUAUGCGAGACGUCUUCUGACAUAUUUUACAAAGGUUGAGCUGCACCAUAUUCCUCGUGAUGAGAACCAAAUGGCCGAUGCUCUUGCUACUCUAUCCUCCAUGUUUCGAGUAAACCAUUGGAAUGAUGUGCCAUUAAUCAAAGUGCAACGCCUUGAAAGACCUUCACAUGUGUUUGCUAUUGAGGAUGUGAUCGAUCAGGCUGGUGAAAAUGUGGUUGACUAUAGACCCUGGUACUACGACAUCAAACAGUUCUUGCUGAGCCGUGAGUAUCCGUCGGGUGCUUCCAAACAAGACAAGAAGACCUUGAGAAGAUUGGCCAGUAGAUUCCUGUUAGAUGGAGAUAUCCUGUACAAGAGGAACUAUGACAUGGUACUGUUAAGAUGUGUUGAUGAACAUGAAGCGGAGCAGUUAAUGCAUGAUGUACAUGAUGGUACCUUUGGGACCCAUGCUACAGGGCAUACUAUGUCAAGGAAGUUGUUACGAGCAGGUUACUACUGGAUGGCCAUGGAGCAUGAUUGCUACCAGUACGCCAGAAAAUGCCACAAAUGUCAAAUCUAUGCUGAUAAGAUUCAUGUGCCUCCGCACGCUCUCAAUGUUAUUUCAUCCCCCUGGCCGUUCUCAAUGUGGGGCAUCGACAUGAUUGGAAGAAUUGAACCGAAGGCUUCAAAUGGUCAUCGUUUCAUUUUAGUGGCAAUUGACUACUUCACCAAGUGGGUUGAAGCAGCAUUUUAUACCAAUGUGACCAAGCAAGUGGUAGCUAAGUUCAUCAAGAACAACAUCAUCUGUCGAUAUGGUGUUCCCAGCAAGAUUAUUACCGACAAUGGUACCAACCUGAACAACAAUGUGGUGCAAGCUCUUUGUGAAGAAUUCAAAAUUGAGCAUCAUAACUCUUCUCCCUAUAGACCUCAGAUGAAUGGUGCAGUUGAGGCCGCCAACAAGAAUAUCAAGAGAAUUGUCCAGAAAAUGGUAACUACUUACAAGGACUGGCACGAGAUGUUACCCUAUGCUCUGCAUGGCUACCGUACUACCGUGCGCAGUUCAACCGGGGCAACCCCUUUCUCUCUUGUAUAUGGUAUGGAAGCAGUUCUUCCUUUGGAAGUGGAGAUCCCAUCUCUCCGUGUGAUCAUGGAAGCAAAGUUAUCCGAGGCUGAAUGGUGCCAAAGCCGGUAUGAUCAGUUGAAUUUGAUUGAGGAAAAACGUAUGGAUGCCAUGGCUCGUGGACAGUCAUAUCAAGCAAGAAUGAAGACUGCUUUUGACAAGAAAGUCCAUCCUCGAGAAUUCAAGGUAGGGGAACUUGUAUUGAAAAGGAGGAUAAGCCAGCAACCCGACCCAAAGGGCAAGUGGACGCCUAACUAUGAAGGUCCUUAUGUUGUCAAGAAGGCCUUCUCCGGUGGUGCUUUAAUCCUUACACACAUGGAUGGUGUAGAACUUCCAAAUCCAGUGAAUGCCGAUAUAGUCAAGAAAUACUUUGCCUAGAAAUAUGAAAAGAACAGCGUGGUAGGUCGAAAACCCGAAAGGGCGGCCUAGGCAAAAAUGCGCUUCCCGGUGGAUCGAAAACCCGAAAGGGCGGUCCAGGCAAAAAUAAGGGACAAAAAAAAAAAAAAACAAAUAUGAAAAGCUCGCUGAGAUUGUACACAACUCAGGCAAGAAUGAGCGUCUCGAUGAGCCGAAAACCCGGAAGGGCGGUUCAUGCAAAAAUGAGAUUGAAACCAAAGGCAAGUAACUAUAUCUGGCCAACCACCGUCUCCCUUGGGGCAUCUGCUGCUGUUAAUGACUAUCUUCAUCAAAAGCUCCUAUGCUUGCGAAUUCAAAGUUUUCAGGAAAUGUAAUGAUUACUGUGUUCAAUGUACCACCAACCAAUAAAAUUACCAUUUUCCAAGCUUUGUAAAUCCGUGGAGUCACACCUUCGGCUGACCACCACUCUUAUACAUCAAUUUGAGCCUGUGCUUUUGAUUAAAAUUCUAUUUUUUUCUACUUUCAAAGCUAUAUACAAAACAUUUUCUUUCUAUUUUGAUAAUGACAAUGCUCGAAACAAACAUUUUUGAAAAUUGAAAACUUUUUGUCUAUUUUGAAAAGCAAACCUGAGCAACAGGGUACAUUCAAAUGAAACAUGCAUGAGCGAGAGUAUGUUGAUGUCUAUUUCAAUAUAUGUUACAAGCAGGUUCUCCUCCAGGAUAGUCUGUGGUCAAUGGCAAGAAUGAAAAAACAGAAUAAAAAUGCAUGAAAAUAAACGAGCUCGCUAAGUUGAAAACCCGAAAGGGCGGCUUAGGCAAAAAUGAGCACCCCGCUGGAUUGACAACCCGAAAGGGCAAUUCAGGCAAAAAUGGGGCAUUGAAAAGAAUUUAUUGCCCCGGUGGAUCGAAAACCCGAAAGGGCGAUCCAGGCAAAAAUGGGAUGCAAUGAAAAAUGAAAAAAUGAAAAAAAGAAUAUAACAUGCAAAAAGCAUUGACCACAGAUGCAAUGUCUACAACAUACCCAGCACUGAAAUGCCCAGCACAACGGCGUUUUCCCCGGUGGGGUCUCUCAAGACUCUAUCCCCAGCAAGUUACAUACCUACCGGCCCCCGGCCAUGGUUCCGAUACGUCUCCCAACGACGUCAUCUCCAUAGAGGAUCUCCGAGAAUGUGUAACAUAGCACGAGCCACUACGUGCCCAAUACUCUAAUGUCUUGUCUUCCCCGUGAAGUCGUGCCUACAAACUGCCAACAGUCAUGCAUUACAAGCAUUCAUACAUGCAUAAUCAUGCAUAUUACGUGCCCAUGCAUUUAAUGAAACUGUUAUAUCAUCCAUGCAUAUCGCAUUUCCAAUGUCAACAUCAGUCUCAAUUCAAUACUCAUGUCAGGUUCUCUGUCAAAACCUUGUGAGCCAAUAAUAUCUGUCAAACCAAUCCCCAGUGAAUAUGUUUCUGUUUGGUCAAGUGGCUAGUUCAAGUCCAAGAACAGCUUGUACCUAUCAAUUUGCUUUUGUUAUCGGUCGAGUGCCCAGCUCAAUCCAAGAGCAGCUUGUACCUGUCAAUAUGUUUCCGUUUGGUCAAGUGGCUAGCUCAAUCCAAGAGCAGCUUGUACCUGUCUAUCUGUUUCUGUCCGGUGGAGUAACCAGUUCGCAUCCAAGAACAAGCUCGCACCUGUCUAUUUGCCUUGCUUUCAGUCGAGUCACUAGUUCGAAUCCAUAAGAACAACUCGUACCUGCCAAUUUUACAUGUUUUCAGUCGAGUCACCAGUUCGAAUCCAUAAGAACAACUCGUACUUGUCAAUUUUCUCUUUUUCCAGUCGAGUCACCAGUUCGAAUCCAUAAGAACAACUCGUACUUGCCAAUUUUCUCUUUAUACCCAAGUGAGUUACCAGUUCGAAUCCAUAAGAACAACUCAUGUUUGUCCAGUAACCUCUAUCCCCUGUGAAGUUACCAGUUCGAAUCCAUAAGAACAACUCGCAGUUGUCUGUUUGUUUCAUUCCCGGUCAAGUGGCUAGUUUGAAUCCAAGAACAGCUUGUACCUGUCCAACUUGUUUCUAACUUCCCGUUACUCUGCUAUUCACUAUCUUUGUCAGUGUCUACCAAUCCCGCAAUGGAUACGACAUAUUUUGUUAAUUCCAAUCCCCAUGGGGUCUUGCAUUCAUAAUCCAAAUGAUGCAUGGCAUGCAUAUUAUUUGAAAAUGGGUAGGCGUAUUUUUACGUCCAAACACAGUGCAAAUGCUAAUAUUUAAGUAUCUUCGUCCUGUCAAGCCAAAGACUCCGUCUCUUGACUCUCCAGACAAAGAAACUUAAAUAGGGGCAGCUGUUAUACCCUGUUUUUGGACCUAAAAAUACUGGGCCCAAUUUCGUUUCAAACUUUGUCAAUUAUUAAAUUUCAACUGCACAGUUCAAAUUGUCUCUGCCUCGCAGUAUUUUCAAUCACAAUUUCAUCUAUGUUUUUCUUGCAUAAAACCUUUUGAAAUGUCUUUACUUGUCUUAUAAGUCAUUCAAAAGUGUCUCUGAAUCAUUACAUUGCUUUUUUCUACAGUUUAUUUCAAAAUUUGCAAAAAAGUCAUACAGAAGGGUAUUUUGGUCAUUUCCUGCAGUGGGACCCAUUUUCAUCCUUGUGACUGUCUCCGAGUCUUUUCAAAUUGUUUUUAAACAUUUCAUCAGUAAGCCUUAUCAAAUUCAUUUCAAACUUGCAUCCGAGUCAGUGUCAAGUCGAUUUGAUUCUGUUUAGGUCAUUUUUAGCCCUAGGGGCAUUUUGGUCAUUUCACACAAAAUUUUCGCAUAGAGAGGUUACUUUGAAGUACCUCAUUUAGGUCAUUGGUUCGUUUUAGUCCGUUUUGUCAAUUUUAUUUUAGUUUCACUUUACGUUUUGUCAGGUUACCAAUUUUAUUCCAAUUUUAUUUUUUAUUUUAUUUUACAUUUUAGUCCCCAAAGAGGUCCAAAAUUGCAUUCCAGUCCAAUUUUCUUUCCAAUUUACAUUUCAGUCCUUUUUGGUUAAUUGCAGUUUAGUCCUCAAUUUCUUUGUUUUUGCAGAAAGGUCCAAAUUUCUUUUUUGUCCAAGGCCGUGCCACUCUUAUACAAUUCCAGGUGUCACCUUUUUAUUGGAUCUCAAGUACACAUGUCAACUAUAAAUACAGUGAGUCAGAUUCAGAGCCAUUAAUUACACGCCAACUCAUAAACACAAACUCAAUUUUCUCUUUCUCAGCAAUUGGAUCAAGCCAGAAAAGUUUCUCAGAAUCUCUCAAGAACACCAAGAACACAAAACCCUAACCGUUUUCCAGAAAUCAAAAUUCAUCAGAAUCAACAGUUUUUUGGAUCAAUUCUCAGAGAUUCUGUGGAAUCUUCAUCAUUGGAUUGAUCGUUCUCUGCAAUUCCAAACGCGAGCUCGCAUUGAAGCAAGCUCAAGCGUUGAUCACAGAGCGUGAAAAGAAGAAGGAAAGAAGCAGAAUCUGCAGAAUCUGGACCGGUGAAGCAAGCAGAAGAAUCAAGAAUCAUCAGAAAACACAGAAUCAAGUUUUUCCAAAGAUUUCCUCCAUUAAAGGUUUCAACCAAAACCUUAGGUAAAACUCAGAAUCUCUUCUCAGAAAAUAAUAUCAUAGUUUAACCUGUAAAAAAUCACGCAAGCAAGCAUAUCAAAAAAAUUUCCAGAAUUCAAAGAAAACCGUAACCGUAAGCACGAAACCUAGAUCCAUAAGGAUCUAAGUUUUGAAAACAAGAACGAAUACCAGAAGAGUAAUCAAACGACGAAACGAUGUAGAUCUUUAAAGAUCUAAACGUUUUUGUUCAAAAAUCAAAAAUCAUUUCAAAACCGUAUAAAGUUUUUCCAAGAUCUACGUCGUUUCAAGCUGUGUUUGGAAAAAUAAUUGCUGGAUUCGUGUUUAGGGUUAAAGGACGAAUCAAAAGAUGCAAGAAUCUUUGAAAUCUGGAAAAUUAGGUCACCGGAAACUGCAUGAACUCGCCGGAGAAGAUGAAGUUUCCGGCGGACCUUCAAGGUCUCCGCCGUAGCUUCAUCCUCGCCGGCGGCAAGGUUAGAGAGAGGUGAGAGACGAGAGAAGAGAGAAGAGCUAGAGAGAGAAUGAGAGCAGCAAAAUGAAAUAAACCGGAGCUCCUUCCUUUUUAUAAGCCAGCGAACCAGACCGGUCCAGUCCGGUCCAUUCUCCUUUGAUUCCUGGCCGUUUGAUCUAGGGUUUCAGGAUCCUGGAUCAAUCGUAUGGUUCCUGUGCAACCGGAUCUUUUAGGUUUGGGCUUUGGGUUUGGGCUCAAGUUUCUUUUACGUUUUUUUGCUUUUUUGCUACCUGCACCCUGUUUCUUUGCUAUUUGAACCUUUGCAUACUUAAUUUUUCUUAAUAAAAUUUCUAAAAAAAUUAUCACAUGUUUCUUGAUGUAUUUUCAUGCUUUUGUGAUACUUUUCAAUAGUUUUAAAAAUGGUAAAAAUACAUGUGAUAUUUUCUCGUUUAAUUAGGUAUUUUGAUACAAAUUUGUGCAUUUUUUAGUAGUGCAUUCUCUCAAAAGAUGAUGGCAUAUGUUGUGAAUGAUUAAUAGGCAAUUUUAUGAUAAAUUUGUUGCUGAUCCUAUGUGUGGCUUGCUGCUUGUGAAUAUGAAUCUUAUUUUUCUUCUUGCCUUGCAAUUAGUAUGUGUUUUAAUAAUAAAUAAGGUGCAAAAUGUCUUGAAAAUGUGUCAUGAGUUUUAGCUUGAAUAUGUCCUAUUAAUUCUCACCUUAUGGCACAAAGCAAGACUUCUAAAAAUUUGCCAUAAUGAAGGGAUCAUAGGUCAUGCACAUGCUAGAGUUUUAGGGCCACUUUCAUGCACAUUUUGUCACUUUAUUAGUCUCUUUUAUGUCUUUCCUCUUAAUAUUUUUGUGCACUUCUUUUAUUCUAGGCUUCAUUUUACUAACUAUUUCAUCUCAUGUGUCAUACAUUUCAUAGCAUUCCACUACCUCCUCCACUUUCUUUAGCUUAGCAUUUAUUUUUGCAAAUUUUAAUUCAUUUGGUGAUGUAAUUUGUUAUCAUUGGUUUGUAGCUUGGCAAAGGGGCCAUAGAAUGUAUUUAGGCAAUUUUUGUAAUAUGGACUAUGGACACUAUGACGCACCGACACGCACACACUCACCCUAGAUGUAUGUUUAGGAUUGUAUGCAUAGAUGUAUGGCUAGGAUUGCAUGAUUAGGUGAACGUUUAGUUUCGAACACUUAGAGAAAAUCCAACUUUUUUCCAAAAAUACGCAAAUAAAUUCACUUCAAAUAUUUUUAUAAAAAAUGGAGUCAAAACUCCAAUAACUUUUCCCUUUUAUUUUCUUAAGUAAAAUUUCUAACAAAUCUUAACUAUACUUGGACUUUAUUUUGAAAAAGACUAAUUCCACCUCACCUUUUCCAAAAUCUCAUGCCCUUGAGGCCUCUCAUCUCUAUUCUUCAAAAUCUCUUUUCAAACUUAAAAUCAACCAACAAAAACAAAAACUAUUUUUUGAGAAUGAACUACGCCGGUUUUGAUCCCGUAAAACGGUACGUAGGCAAGGGACUUUAACCCCUCCAAGCCGAAAUAAAAUCAAAUUCUACUUCUUCUCACCCCCAUUCUUCACUAAUCAUACCUUUGUUUUUUACAAAUAGGCAAUAAAACUAAAGCGUAGAAAUAAACUUAGGAGAGCGGUUCUUAUGGAAUACCAUAAUCGCUCCGGGUGCCUAACACCUUCCCGUAGCGAAAACGACCCCCGAAUUCGGAAACUCAAGGGUUUUUCUCCUUUUACCCUUCCCAAGAAAAAAGAGAGAUAUCAACGGUCAAAAGGUUCAAGUCCAACUAAUGGCUUGGCACCCAAAAACCAUGAUAACAGGUAGAAUCAGGCAUGUAAAGCAUAAAUGGUAAAAUUACACUCAAAUGGUAGCUUUUCCUUAGAUAACUUGCAAAACAAGUCACUAAUUUGCCUAAGUUAACACAUGAAAUAUGUUACUUUUGAGCACUUAUCAUGUACUCCAUAAAAACACCAGGCGCAUUAGUAACACAGAAAGGCAUUACUUUGUACUCGUAAUGACCAUAACGUGUCCUAAAGGCCGUCUUCUGCAUAUCCUCAUCCUUCACCUUUAUCUGAUGAUAACCAGACCUCAAAUCAAUCUUACUGAAAAUCUUAGCACCAACCAACUGAUCCAUCAAGUCGUCAAUUCUAGGAAGCGGAUACCUGUUCUUGAUCGUAACUUUGUUCAACUGACGGUAAUCUAUACACAGUCUCAUACUACCAUCCUUCUUCUUGACCAACAACACCGGUGCUCCCCAAGGUGAAACACUGGGUCUUACAAACUUCUUAUCUAACAGGUCCUCCAACUGUUUCUUCAACUCAGCUAAUUCAGAAGCUGACAUACGGUACGGUGCCAUCGACACCGGCUUAGUUCCUGGAACAAGGUCUAUUGAAAACUCAACUUCCCUCUCUGGUGGCACAUCAGGAAUCUCAUCAGGGAAUACUUCUGGAAAUUCAUUCACUACAGGUAAACCAUCAAUCACAGCUUGAUUUUCUAACGACAAUUGUGCCAUUAGAGAAUACAUCAGGAUACCAUCACGUUCAAACUGUUUCAUCUGUUUUGUAGACAGAAGCUCAACCUCACCUUCUUCUUCAGCAGAAGAGAAAUGUACCGUCUUACUAAAGCAGUUGAUAUGAACCCGAUUAUACUCUAACCAAUUCAUACCAAAAAUCACAUCCAUACCCGUCAACGGCAGACAAACUAAAUCAAUCACAAAAUCUCUACCAAACAUAGAUAUAGGACACCGCACACAAACAAGAGAAGUGGUUACUGAACCCUUAGCUGGAGUUUCAACAACCAUUUCCCCUUUCAUAUCAGAUACAUCCAAACCCAACUUAUAUGCACAUUCAAUAGCAAUAAAACAAUGAGUAGCACCAGUAUCAAUAAUAGCAAUUAAAGGAGUACUAUUAAAGAAACAAGUACCUCUGAUAAGUUGGUCCUCAUUAGGAGUCUGCGUACCAGUCAAAGCAAACACCUUUCCACCAAUUCUAGUCUUCUUCGGCUCAGGACACUGUGAACUGAUAUGACCUUCCCCAUUGCAGUUGUAACAGACAAUGUCCCCACGCUUGCAUUCAGCUAAACUGUGACCCUUCUGACCACACCUGAAGCACUUCCUAUCAUCUCUUCCACAAACAUUACUCUUGUGGCCUUUCUCACCACAUUUGUAACAAACAAUCUCAGCUGGAGCAUCUCUCCUCUUGGGCCUCCUAUCAUCACCCAUCUUCUGUUUACCCUUGUCAGCAGGAGCACUGUAAGGCUUAGGACGACUCUGGUGUCCCUUACCCCUCCUCUCACUCAUUAUCUUGUAAUGAGCUUUGGUGUCUUCUUCAUAGAUUCUGCACCUAUUAACCAACUCAGAAAAAACUCUGAUCUGCUGAUAUCCAAUAGCUCUUUUGAUGUCAGCCCUCAACCCAUUCUCAAACUUGAUACACUUGGAGAACUCAGCUGUCUCCGCACUGUAAUGAGGAUAGAAUGUGGCAAGCUCCACAAACUUUGCAGCAUACUCUGUGACAGACAUGUCACCCUGCUUCAACUCCAGAAAUUCAAUCUCUUUCUUACCUCUGACAUCCUCUGGAAAAUACUUGCCCAGAAACUCCUUCUUGAACAUGGCCCAGGUUACCACAGCAUCAUCCUGUUCCAACACAGGCAACAGACUAAUCCACCAAUCAUCGGCCUCUUCAGCUAGCAUGUGCGUCCCAAACCGCACCUUUUGAACCUCAAAACACUGCAUGACCCUGAAUAUUCUUUCAAUCUCCUUUAGCCAUUUCUGAGCACCAUCAGGAUCAUACCUACCCUUGAAAGUUGGUGGAUGAUUCCUCAGGAAAGUCUCUAGCAUCCUGGUGCCAUCACCACCAGUCUCAACCUUAGGUUGCUGUUGAACAGCUUGAGCUACAGCCUCAAGCGCAGCAACAAGGGCAGCAUCACUACUUCCAGUCAUCUCGAGAUUCUACACGACAAACAACAACUCAGAACAACAACAAAAAGCAACAUUCAAGUUGACACUCUAACCUAGGUGGCUCAACACGACUCUACUACUUGGCCGGACGGACCAACCUGCUCUGAUACCAAAUUGUAACACCCCGUUACCCAAAUGUAAAUAAAUAACAAAUAAUCAUCAGAGUAAUUCACCAAAAACGGGUAUGCCACAUUUCAAAAAUCAAAAUUCUUAAAUAGCAUAUGAAACUAUUUAAUUAAACCACUUGAUAAAAAUGAAAACAUAGCAGCGGAAUGGUUUUCAAAUCCAACAACAGCCUACGACAUUAAAGGCCUUAGCAUAAUUCAACAACAUUGUUCAAAAGAUAAUAAAGGCUCCACAUCACAAAUCCAAAAUUCGAUACAUGGAAAAGAAACAACAAUAAUAUAAAUAACAGUUCCCAUCCCACGUAUCAGAGCCCUAGACACGACUCUUGAGCCACCACCGACUACUCAGGAUCACCUGCAAGUUACCCAUAGGAAGGGCAACAUUUUCAAGCAGAAGGGGUGAGAUUCACAACAAUAAACAUAGAUAAUAAAUCUUCAAUUGAAUCUAACACCCUAAAACUUCAGUAUAUCAUCUUGCAAAUAUUAAUAAUUUAUUCACAAGUCACAACAACAUUAUCAUAAUAAUCCACUUAAUAAGUAUGUAUACAAUGUACAUAUUACCACAACAUUAACAAUACAACAUGAUCACAAUGAAUAUAUAUAAAUAAAUGUAUAUUCAACAUCAACAUCAUCCAUCAGAUAAAACUGAAACAACAACCAAGACUCAUGCAAAUGACAUGACCACUGCUAAGACACCAUCUUAGACUUCUUAAUGAAAUGCAUUAUGCAUGUGAUACCAAUCAGGACCGAAGCCCUCACCGCUUUUGAAUGGUUAAAGCAUUCAUCAGGACCGAAGCCCUCACCGCUGUUGAGCAACUAGUACUCCAGGACCGAAGCCCUCACCGCUGUUUUUAUGCAUAUGCAAUGGACCUACUUGUGUAUAUCUACAUACAACUGACCAUGCAAUGCAACUCCAUGUGACUCCACUUAAACGACAUGUAUGAUUAAUAAUUAAAACAUACAAUGCAUUCCUCAUCAUCAAUCAACAACCAACAGAGAUUCAACCAUUCAGAAUGAUGCACAAUUAAAUAUAAUUAUGCUUAAACAACAACACUCAAACCUUAUCAUCCAAGCAAGCAAAACUGCACUCAAAACUGCACAGCUCGCCUCGCGAGCACAUCUGCUCGCCACGGCGAGUUCACAGAAACACUAGCUCGCCAUGGCGAGUUCAAGGCGAACUCGAGGCGAGUGGAAAUCAGGUACUCUCGGGAAAAAGUGACAUUUUCUCACUCAAACUCCAAUUCUAAGCUCCCUAUUCAUCUUUUUAACCCAAAACUUCCACCAUUCAUCAUUAAUAUCAUCUAGAUACCUUAAUCCAUUCCCAAAACAUCUUAUAACAACUUUUCAAAAAUCACAUUUUUCUGGGCUUGCUCGCCAUGGCGAGUUGGACUGCUCACGAGGCGAGUGAUGAAGUUGCUCACUCGCGAGGCGAAGCACGAAUGCUCGCGAGGCGAGCGAUGAACUUCUGUACGGGCAGAAAACUGGUUUUUCCCCAAAAUCCCAUUUUUCUUCCAAUCACUCCCCAAAUCAGUUUACAGAUACAAAAUUAAGCGUUCUAUGCAACCAUAAACCAAUUUUUAACAUCAAAUUCAGGCUUACAACUUCAAAAAUCCCAUUUUCAACAUAACACCCAAAAUCCCCAAAUUUCACUAAAACCUGUUAAACUCAAAAUCAGAAUCUAAAAUCUACACUGUUGUACCCUGAUUUUGGACCUAAAAAUACUCAUUCAAAUUUCUUUUUCAACACUGAUAAUUGUCAAAUUACUGUUAUGUUUCCCUGAGUCUUUACUUUGUUUCAUCUGCAUCUUUUGCUGUCUCUGUCUCAAAGUAUUUUCAAUCAUGACUUUCUUGCAUAAAACCAUCCAAAAUAUCUUUCUUGCAUUACAAGUCAUUUGAAAACUCUCUGAAUCAUUGCAUUACUUUUCUUGCAUUUUAUUUCAAAUAUUUUCAAAAAAUCAUACAAAAGGGUAUUUUGGUCAUUUCCUGCAGUGGAACCCAUUUUAGUCCUUGUGAUUGUCUCUGAGUCUUUUCAACUUGCUUUACAAAUCAUUGUGGAGUCUUUGUUAAAAAGUCAUUUCAAAAUUACAUCUGAGUCAGUUUGAGUCAGUUUAGUCCCUAGGGGCAUUUUUGUCUUUUCCUGUCAUUUUUGUCCAAUUUACCAAUUUUAAUCCAAUUUUAUUUUAAUGGCAUUUUUAGUACUCAAACAGAUCCCAAAAUUGCAUUUUGGUCCAAUACUCUUUUUUUUUAAUUGCAUUUUUUUUAGUCUUUUUUAAUUGCAGAUUAGUCCUCAUAUUAACUUUUUUGCAGAUUAGUCCUUAAGUCCAAAACAGUCUUCCAUUGGGUCUCCAAUACACAUGGCAGGCUAUAAAUAGUAAAUGUGUCAGAUCCAUCACAAUCACAAUCAAACAGAAUCUUUUUCUCUCUCUCAUCCAUAACAGAAUCAAAACAGAAAAAACUCAGAAAAAAGAGGAAGAACACCAAGAACACCUCAUCACCAAAAUCAACAGAUCUAAACCGGAUCUGCUCAGAAUCAGCUCCAACCACCACAAAAUCAACAAAUUCGAACCGGAUUCACUCAAAACCACCGCGAAUCAUCACAUCAACACCAAAACGUACCGGAUUUUCGAGCAAAAACAACACCAACGGAGGAUAUAGCGCGCGCGCGAAAGAGAAGAGGAGAGAUUCGAAGUUUUCUGAAUAUCUUUUUUCUCCGUUCUACGACAGAGGUAACGCGUUUCUCCUUUCUUUCUAAGCCAUUUCCGCGCAUUUCUUGCUUGAAAAAGUGUGAAAAAGUUUGUUACGGAUAAAGAUUUGUAGAUCUAGGCUUUUGUGUUCGGAUUUUGAGAAUUUUGAAGCCGGAUUCGGACUCUAUAGAGAAAAGGAUAUCUAGAUCCGUAGUUUUUUUUGCGAAAAGUGUGAAAAAGAUUUUCAAAGUAAAAACGUAGAUCUAGUCCGAAUCGCUCCGUUCUCGCUAAAACUAACGCCGGAUUUGUGUAGAGGAGGUGGUGACGGAACUUUUGAUGUAAAAACUUUGAAAAAAAAGUAGUUUGAAUUUUCCGGCGCGGUGGCGCCGCCGCCGGAAACCGGCCGGCCGCCGCGCCGGAACCACUACCUCCUCCACCUUCGCCGGCGAGUUUUUUUUAGAGAGAAGGGAGAGCUUCUCUCUCUAAGUGUGACUUAGAGAGAGAAGGAGAAGAAGUUUAUGUGUUUUUUUGUGUGAAAAUUCCUUUUUAUACUCCCUCCGUUCCCACGCGCGCGCGUGCGUGCUCUUGUUGUGUUCCCUCGCUCUGUGAACCAUCAGAUCCGGAUUGUUCCAAGAUCUGAUGGCUGCUGUGUGUUUGAUUUUGAAUUCUGUGUGUGAUCUUCUGUGUGAAAUAUGGUAUAUCUUCUGUUUGAACCGUUAGAUCUUUGAUCUAACGGUCACUGUGCUUCCUGCAUUUUACACUAUCUUUUGUGCUUUUUUUGGACCCUUGGAUCUUUGAUCCAGUGGCUGUGAUGUGAUCUUGGGAGUUAGAUCUGAACCUCUGGAUUCAUCCAGCGGUCCAGAUUAAAUCCUGCUGAGCCUCUUUUAAUUGCUUUUUUAAUUGUGUUUUAAAUACUUUUUUUACACUUUCUUGGUGUUUUAUGCUUCUAAAAAAUUUCUAAAAAUAUUUCCCUAUCAUUUUAAUUUUUCCUCUAAGUGUUAGAAUUUAUUUGCUUAUUUUUGCAUUCAUUUUCUUUACUUUGUUCUUUUAAUUCUCGCUCAUUAAAUUCCAUAUAUGUUCUUGAUGCAUUUUUACAUAUUGUGAUAUUUUUGCAUGUGAAAUAAUGUGUGGAAAUAUCUCUAGGAAUAUGAUAUAAUGCUUGGCUUGUGUGUACUCUUAUGAUCCUCACAUUGUAGCUUAAAUUCAAACCUUUCAAAAAUGGCUAUAAUGAGGGAAUUAUAGGUCAUGUGCAUGUAUGAGUGUUAUACCUAAAUUCUAGGUGAAUUUUUACUACUUUGUUUCAUUGCAUUAUUUUCUUUCUCUUGUGCUAUUCAAUUCUAUAUUGCUUUCAUUUUUUUUAUUAUCAUUUUGUACUUGUGUUACUAACUCUUAUGCUUCAUAUCUCACUCAUUCCAUAAGCACCUAAUCUUUGUACCCUCAUUGCUCCUAGUUUAGGUUUUCUUUUUGUAUUCAUUUCUAUGCCAAUUGGUUUGUAAUAAAUUUAGUUAGUUUAGUUUAGUUUACAUUCUUGCAAGACCAUAGCAUGUAUUUAGGACUCGAUGUAAAGGACUAUGGACACUAUAAGUGAUGUACACCGACAAAAGCACCGACACAUGCACACACC
rnacentral:lncRNA from 1 species